CCGAUAACUUUGGUACCACUUUCAGGAUCAUCCAAAGGGUGAAUUUGGAUUGUGGAGGAAGGGAAUUAUAAGCCAUGGAAGUAUAAGACCAGAGAGAAAAUGUGAUUUCAUUUCAUAACCAUCCUCACUCUGACCAUUUUUGUUCAGAAAUCCAUCUGUACAGCUUGAAGUUGUGAUGAGUGAUGACACUGCUUACAUUUAUUUCACCCAAUAUACCACAAAAAAAUUUGAGGUCACCAAUCAGGGAAACAAGUAAACAACUUAACAUUUAUUGAACAUACACAGACGAUGGUUUUUCAGAAGUUUCAAGUCCAGAGGAUAAGUAGUAAUCGAGUACACAGCUACACCACAGCAUUUUCACCGAUGGUAAUCACAGAAAUACAUUAGUUGCUACAAAGCUAAUCCUAAGUCACUUCAAUGCAACAAAAGCCGCAUUGAAGGGCUGAUCUACAAAAGUACAAGUAUUUUCAACAAGAAAAAUCAAAUCUAGACAAACACUGAAUUACAGUCAUCCAUGAUAACUAAAACGAUGUCUAAGACGAGGACCUACCAUGUUCAGCAGUUAACUGGAGAGGGUGCUGGAUGUUGCUUCACUUCAUCUCGUCCAAUUUGAUUGAUCUCUUUAGGCUUGGGCUCACCUGCAGCUUCAAUGUGGCUACCAUUCUCUUCCACCUGCACACUUUGUUGUUCACCUUGGUUCCCAUCUACCACUUGCUUCUCAUUGACGUCUUCAGUAGAUUCUGCUGCAGAUCCAUUGAGUUUCUCUUUCUCACCUCCCAUGUGCUGUUUGUCUUCAUCAGAAACAACUGCAGGGGGUUUCGGCUCCCCCACAUUAACUGGACCAUUUGUUUUCUCUGCUUCUACUUGAGGAUCCUCAACAUUUUCAACCUGUUUCUUAUCUUUAGUCUGUUCAGCAGCAGUGGCACCUUCUUCCGCUUUGUCUUUAUCAUUUACUUCUGCAGUUUCAUGAAUUUGAACAUCUUUCCCCUCUUGGGGUUCAAUUGGAGCAGGAGCAGUCUCCACUCCAGCAUUGCAUUCCUUACCCACUGCAGCCUGCACUUUGACUUCAUCCCCACCUUGAUUGUUCUCUGUCGUGGUGUUAUCUUUCCCAGUUUCUGCAAUAUCUUUCUCUUCUUUGUCUUGCUUGGUAGCUUCUGCAUCCUGCAUAUGAACAUCUUUCUCUACUCCAGUUUCAACCAUUUCUGUUUCUUUACCAUCCUUUUUGGACCCAGAUGAUUUCCUACUACGUUUCUUUGGUGGGUCGCUUUCAGGUGGUGGAGUUGCCUUCACCUUCUCACUGAUCCUUGCUGAUCUCCUUGGGGUUUCACCCGUACCCCAAUCAAACUCAGAUAUUGGAACACUACCAGGGUGAGCUUUCAGGUAUUGCUCCAACUGUUUCCUACCACUGAAUUCCUCUCCUGUUGGGGCAAUAAAGACGAUCUCGCUCUUCUUGGGUGUUCCUCCUAGCUUGGGCAUAAACUGCAGAUGCUCUCAAAAAGAAAUUUUACAUGAUAAGUAAUCAGUCAAGUUCACGAUUUUCUAGUGCUCACUACCAUAAUCAAAAGAGAAGCCUAAGAAAUCUUGCAUGCAAUAAAAACGUAUACAGAAAGAUCUAAACGAUCAAUAAAAUUACACCAAAGCUAGUAUAAUAUAUCUAGACAUUUUCCAUUCUCGUAUGAGAUACAAAUCCUUAAUUUAUUCUUUGAAUCAUACAGCUGUAAUUUGAUACAAUAUUGACGAAUAUGAGAUUUUGCACUUACUGAGUUCCCAAAUCUCAUUUGAAUUGCACAGACGACAGGAUUAGUCUUACGUUUAAGUAAUGUUUUUCAUAUUUGGGAGUACAAGCGGUCAUGAAUAGACUUGUACAGUUAUACAGUCUAAUCAUCACAGUACUAAAAGACUUAAUACCCUUUGAGCUACUGUGGUACAUGCACACUACUAUCUCAAUAGAAAUGAUACCUCAAAAAAAAUUAAGCAACUAGGAUCAAAUUAAAAUCUCUGAGAUUGGUCUCUGAUAUAUAUGGAAAUUUUGCUUUAAUGAAUUCGUUCAGAGCAGGACGUGGGACUGAGCCGUUCAAGUUAGAUUAUAAAAAUUUGAUAAAGAGUUUAGUGUGUGUCAUAUACUUCAAUUUUGGCAUAUACAUUCCAUUGUGGUUGUAUUUCCUCAUACUAUACAAUGAAUAAUUAAAUAUAGCUUUCCAGCCUUGAAAAUGGUAUCAGAAUAUUGGAGAAAUAUAGGCAAGAACUAAAAAGAACAUUCGGCAAACAGAUUCAGCCCCUGAAAAAUUUAUGACUAAUCGGGUGACACCCAAAUUCUUGGAGACAAUUCCACGUCAGACUACCCUCCAAGUAUUAAACGACAAAAGUAACAAAACUGGUGCCUGGUUAAUGCAUGGGAUUCAGCUCCUGAAUAAUUUUACGACGCAUCGGGUCACACCAAAAGGAGUUAUUUUAUCUCUUGCACCUCAUAUCCAAAAUUAACAUAAAUCUCUAGAGAAAGAAUGAUUCUUUAGAAAAAUACACCUCUAGCUUAAAUCUAAAUCCCUUUUAAUUUCGCAAAAAUUUGCAAUGGUCAGAAUUUUUCUUGAAACAAGACCAACAUAUUGAGCUAUUCUUUUAUUCCCAGCUCGAAAAGCCAGUGUAUAAACAAAUAACUGCGCUAUUUCUAUCUUAUUCUCAACUGUUCCCACUUAAAUUGAACACAACCUUCCAUUUAAACGAAGCAUAUGUACUAAGGUAAUACAGUAAGAAUUAAGCACAAAUCCCCAAACUAUAAUCAGGACAAAAAAAUCCCCAACCAUGUCUUCCUUGUAAGAAAGUGUUUUCCAUUUUACCCUAAAUGUCCAAACAAAUCUCACUCAUUUCAACAAUAAAUGAAAAACUAAUUAAACACUCAAUUUAACAUGAAAUUUCAAAAAUAAAAAUUAAUUUUAUCAUUUAAAACAAAAAAAUUAACAUUCUUUCCACAAACCCUAAAAGUCAAACCAUCAACAAAAACCAAAUUGAAGACCUAAAACUACAAAACUUAAAGAAACACAACAUCCCCAUUUCUAAUUUCACAUAGAAAAACAAAACUUCAUAUUCAUAAGUCAUAACAAGUAAAAAAAAAAAAAAAAAAAAAACAAUUACCUUUUUCUUCCAACCAAGAGGAGCUGGAAGUUCAACAGAAACAACUUCUUCAUCUUGGGUUUUGGUUUGAAGGUCUUUCUCAACUGAAGUUGCCAUCUUCUUCUUCUGCUUCUGCUUCAAAGGUAUAGUGAAGUUUAGCUUGAAAGAAAGUUUAGAAGAAAAAUAAGAAUAAAGAUUGAAUUUUUAUUUUAUCUUGUUUACCUUUUUCUUCUUCUCUUCUCUUCUGUGAAAUUUCAAUUUAAAGACAAUGUGACAAUUACAAGCAAAUGCCGGAAACAAAGACACGAGUUCGUUGUCUUUGAUGAGUGCUAACUACACCCUUUAUCCAUUUAGUCUAUUCAACUGCUCCUGCGUUUAAAUUAUAAAACUUUAUCUGUGGAUUAUGAUAUGCCACGUAGUGUAUUCUUAAAGUCAAUGACAAGACUUUGUUCGUGGUUUUAAUCAUGAGCUUUGUUAAGUUAGCAAGUUUUAUGAUGGAGAGUAGUAGAUAAUAACUUACGUACCUAUCUAAAUUUUGUUUUUUUGACUGAGUUCCAAUCCUGUACUCCAAACACUGGAAAUCUAUUUUGAAUCUCAAUUUCAUAAUUUAGUGCUGUUCAUAGGAUCGAAACUUCAACCAUUGUCAUAUAUCCAACGGUUGACAGUACAGUGAAUCAAGGGAGAGUGAAGUUGGUUUGAAUGUUGGGAGCAUGAGAUUAAAACCAGUUGUGGAUGAGGGUAGAGUUGUCUUUACAUAAUGUAGCACGUUUGCAUGAGGACUGAGGAGGACAUGGUCGUGGACUCGUGGAUCACGUUGAGAGGAAGAGUACACAUAACGUAGUAACUUAGUGGACUUCAACUCCAAACUUAACUGAAUUGAAUUCUCAAGUGUGGACAACCUACAAGAUGGGCUUUAGAGUUAGGUGCUGUUUGUUUUUCCACUUUUCUAGUAGCUUGUAGCUUAUAAGCUACUAGAUCAGCCAAAAGCCCGUUUGUUUUUUUGGGCUUAUAAGAUUUUUUAGUAGAAAAUCGCUAGUUAGUAAGCGGUUACUAUAAGCUCCAGAAUGAAGCUUAUAGCUAGUAGAAAUAUCUGAUAGGAUGUAAAAUUACAUCUAAAACCAUUCUUAAUAAUUAAAAUUACUAUUCAAACCAAAAUCAAAACUGAAAAUUUAUAUAGGUUAUGUUUGUUCUAUUUUCGUCGUCUUUUUCUAUUAUUUUAAAAAUUAUUUUAUUGUAUUCAUUCAUUAAGAGAUACUCUUAUUUGUUAUGGUGUAAUAUUAUUUCAUUAGGAUUUUUCUAUGUGUAGUAAACUAAAAUAAUUAUAGAACAUAAGUCCAUUUUUUUACGAGGGUAUAUUAGUAAAAAAAUAUAUAUAUAAAUAGAUUUAGAAGUGGAAAAAACAAACAGAUAAAAACAACACCGGUGUUGUUUGUUUUUUCAGUUAUCAUAGUUCUGAUAGCUUAUAAGCUAUUAGAAAACCCAAAUGUAUGUUUGUUUUUACUUCUAGUUAAGGUCUUAUAAGCUUUUCUAGUAGAAAUUAGCUAAAAAGAUGGCGGUUAGUAUAAGCUCCAUCCCCAAGCUUAUAGCUAGUAGCUUAUAAGCUAUAAGCUACUAGACAAAAAAACAAACAGCACUGUGAUGGUCUAUAUGAGAAAAAGUUUGCUCCCGACAGUUUUUAUUCCUUGCAUUUUUUUUAAAAGUUGAAUAAAAAAUUUAUUGACGAAACAUGAAAUUACAUAAAGGUAAAGGACAUGCGCGCUACAAGCUCCACUGUGAAUUCUUUUUAAAUAGGCAAUCUCACCUUUCAAAGUCUAUAAAUGUAAGGUUUUUGAAAUUGGUUAAGUAUCCUCAAUAUUUGUUUAUCUGUGGAUCCAUCCUCAAUGUAUUUUGUCUCUUUAAGAGAGUUGUGAGGAUGUGAGUUCGAAAAUAGAAAAUUGAUGUGAUAUUGAAACUUUGGAUAUUGAAUAUUGAAAAUUGAUUUGUUUUCCCAACUGUAGUGUGUGUUAUUUUUAUUCUCCAAUCAUCGACGUUUGUGUGAUAACGUUUCUGCGAGGCGCAACAACACAAACCACCUAAACAAGGAGUAGCUUUAGAUGAAGGGUUACAUCGCCUAGAUGUAAUUAGCAGUCAGGAUUGAGAUUGCAAAUGAGAAGGCUUAUACAUAUUGAAUCCUUAACAACUGUAUUUUUUUAUUCUUUAUUAAUAUAGGUUAACUUCAAAGAAAAAGAAAGAUUAGUAUGAAUACCCACUGAUCCUUGAAGAUGAAAAGUUUUUAUGAUUAUCACCAUGCUUUAGAGCAUCUCUAAUGCACGGUCUAAAUUUAGCAUGCCACAUAGGUGACACAUCAUCGUUUAUAGCAUUUUCUAAGAUUUUGCAACCUUCUAAAUUUACAACUUUUAUUUUAAGACUAAUGCACAUAAAUUUUACAACCUUGUAUUAAUAUAAAAAGAAUAAAACAAAUGGGGAACAAAGAGACUAUUGAUAGACUGUUGAUGUACUUUCCAAAAUAUAUAAUAAAGAAAUCAUAUGUUAGAAUAAAGAAACCAUUUAUUAGAGAUAGAAGGUUGCAUAUUUUGUUCCAAAAUGAACCAUGCAUAUAGCAGAUGCAUUUAUAGCAUGACUUAUAACAUGUGCAUUAGGGACAAAAUUAUAGGAAAUGCUAUUUUUAGACCGUGCAUUAGAGAUGCUCUUAGGCCCGACACUCAUUCUUUCAAUAAUGUUUAGGGGUAUUUUGUAUUUGGUCCCUCUAGAAGAUGGGUAAUUAUCAUUUGGUCUAAUCUUUAUCGUUUAUUAGUAAAUAGUCCCUUUCUGUCACUUGACUGUCAAUCAACUCAGUUGAUCAGAAUCAAGACAUCCAUAAUUUCUUAAUGACCAGACUACCGUUUCACAUGACUAGCAUGUGAGAAACUUAAAACUAUAAAACCAUAAAUUAGUUGUUUGUAGACCUACAAAAUUAGUUUAUGGUCCUCAUUUUUCAUAUUUAGUUUCAAAUAUAGUCUCUAGGGGUGGCCAAAAAACCGAAAAACCGAAACCGAACCAAGUCAAAAUCGGUCAAAACUGUGUUAACCAGGAACCGGUCAAACCAAAUUGGAACUAGAACCGAACCGAGUAUAUACAGUCCAGUUCCAGUUCCUAUUCUAAUAUUUCGGUUCGAAUCGAACCGAGAAUAUAUAUAUAUAUAUACACGUUCAUAUAUGUUUUUUUAAUUUUUUCUUAUAAAUGUUGGAUUAUAUUCAAAUAUUCAAUAGAUUACAAAAAAAAAAUCAAAAUUAUUAAAGCCCCAAAACAAAAGCCCAAAAUAAAGCCCAAACAAAAAACAUAACCGAAUUAAAUCUGUUCGGUCCAGUCUAGUUUAAGUAAUAUUUUUCGGUUUUUGAAACCAAACCGAACUGAACCAGCUUAGACAGUUCGAUUUCAGUUUAGUGGUAAAAUGGAACCGAACCGAACCGUGCCCACCCGUAAUAGUCCCUAUAAGAAAUAGUGGACAUAACCACGGAAGUUAUUUUACCGGAUUGAACUUGAACAUGUAACCAUCACCCAUGGAAUGUCUAGAAUUUUUCUUUACUUGAUUGUCAUCUUCACUUAUAAACACAAGAGAAUAAACUUCUAGAGGUUUCAUGGGUGGUGGUUACAUGUUCUACUUUUUUUUUUUUUUUUUUUUUUUUGCAAAUGUCAAGCUGGGGUUUGGCUUAGACCCCUACCAGUUUAUUAUCAAGAAUUUCUAAAAAAUAAGGUACUAGUUACAUCCUGUGUUACAAGGUCAAGCAAUUCCCUUUGAAAUGGAGGGUUGAAGAAUACAAUAGAUUCAUUUGCUUCACUCAAGUUCGCCAACCAGUCAGCGUGAUUGUUUAAUUAUCCGAUCGACAACAUGUUCAAUUCUAAACUCGUCUAAGUUGCUCAAGGUUUCCCUUAUCACAUCAACAAGUAUGAUGGUUCCCCAUGUGGGCAAUGUUUUUCUCUGAAUAAUUCUUGUGGCUUGUAGUGAGUCAAAAUGGAUAAGCAAUUUCUUUAUUCCCAGCUCCACAGCCAAGUUAAUGCCUUGUUCAAUGCCUUUGAGUUCCAGGUAUAGAACUGACCUUGUACCAGACUCUGCAGUAAAAGCUAUUAUAGAACGUUUGUUCGACGUACGUACGUCCUCCUUUGUUUUUGUGCUAUAUGGGCCCUGUUUAAGCCCAAUUCGUGGUCUAUUGUAAGGCUAUGUUAUAAAGCCAAAUAGAAGUGGAAAAACCUAAUGAAGUUUUCUAAGAGAGAGAUUGUGAGAAGCCAUUAGAGAGUUGGAGAACUUUUGUGAGGAAGAAGACUUCGGUUUCUUCGUGAGGGCUUGUACAAUUGUCUCGAAAAGAAAAGCAUCAUUUUUUCUCCCCGUGGACGUAGGCAUAUUGCCGAACCACGUAUAUCUUAUGUCUUGUGUGGUUGCUUGUUUGAUUUUGUCGUUUAGUUUUACUUUCAUACAUUAGUUCAAUCAUCUUAUUUGUGCAUUAGUUUCCGCUGCGCACAACAGGAACCUCCCAAAGUGAUGAUUUCAGUGUACCAUCCUACCAAACCCAAUGCCGGUUCAACAAUACUCGAGAUUUCCUAUUUUUGAAUAACUUGCUCCGUAUUGUAUGGAUCAAGAUGCAUAUGAUAUGCAUAUUGACCAAUUCAGGUCGUACGAGCAAACAAUGUCAUGGGAAUAUUACUGUACUGAGUUCGUCCCCACACGUAUGCGACUCGAAGCUCAUCGGUUUGACUUGGGGUGUCUAUCAUUCUGGUUGAGUUGUUAUGAGGUUGUUUAUGUUUAGAUUUGAAACAAAUAAAAGUUCCGUGAAUAUCCGCCCGAUAUUUACGAUUUUUUACCUAUGAGUAAAACUAUCUUGUGUAAUAGUUCCGUCUUAGCUUCCUUGUAUGAUUUGUCGCGUGUUUAAUUUGUAAUGUAUGUUUUUCUUUUAAUUAUAAGUUUAUCUAUUGAACCCAGAAGAAAAACAUGACAAUAGCAGAAAACCUCCCAAUUUUUUGAUUUUUUUGCGAAUAUUCACGAAAUAUUUCGUGAGAACCAUUUUUGCCAAACCUCCCAUAUCUGACAUUGGGGUUCGAAUAUUCGCGGAAUAUUCUGAUUUUUUCGAGGUCGGAUAUUCGGAUAUGAAAUUUUCACCUAUGGUCUCAACUCUCAAUUGUAUGUGUUGCAGUUAUGCAUGCUUAGCUUAAUUAGAUGUUCCUCUGAGUGCCCGUGUCUCAGACAAGGAAGUUUAUGCAUGACUUUUUAGUUUUUUACAUAUGUACUGGACUAGAAAACAUGUAUUCUCAUGGGCUUUGUACAUCUGUAUUUUCCAUUAUUUAUCAAACCGUAGUAUAGUGGUAACUGGUAAAUGUGGUUUGCCAUCAAACAUAAAACUUCCGGCAAAUGGGUUUUGCCACCUUUUAUCAAACCGGUUAUCAAACUAUGAUAAAAUAUCAAAUGCGGACAAUUUACUGAUACGAUAUUUUUGCUAAAAAAAAACAAAAGGAAAAAUGGCAAUUUUUUUAUCAAGCACACAGAAGACAUAGACUUCCCACAUGUGACAACUAGGGGUGCUCAACUUGCCCCGUGACCCAGACCCGCCCCGUUCCCCGCCCCGUUUUUUAUCUCCCCGCCCCGCCCCGCCCCAAUAUUUGCCCCGCCCCGUAUCCGCCCCAAUGGGUAGCAGGGCAGGGAUGGGUUUCAUUGUAUAGAUUGAAACCCCGCCCCGUGCCCCGCCCCGUUCCCCACCCCAUAUCCCCGCCUCGUCCCCGCCCCAUAUCCCUAUCUUCUCUAUAUAUCACUCUCUCUCUCUCUCUCUCUCUCUCUCUCUCUCUCUCUCUCUCUCUCUCUCUCUCUCUCUCUCUCUCUCUCUCUACCUCAACUCUCUCUGCUAACCUUUGAAUAGAGCAAUUUUGCACUGUGAUGAAUAUAUCUACUUUUAGGAAGGUGUGNNNNNNNNNNNNNNNNNNNNNNNNNNNNNNNNNNNNNNNNNNNNNNNNNNNNNNNNNNNNNNNNNNNNNNNNNNNNNNNNNNNNNNNNNNNNNNNNNNNNNNNNNNNNNNNNNNNNNNNNNNNNNNNNNNNNNNNNNNNNNNNNNNNNNNNNNNNNNNNNNNNNNNNNNNNNNNNNNNNNNNNNNNNNNNNNNNNNNNNNNNNNNNNNNNNNNNNNNNNNNNNNNNNNNNNNNNNNNNNNNNNNNNNNNNNNNNNNNNNNNNNNNNNNNNNNNNNNNNNNNNNNNNNNNNNNNNNNNNNNNNNNNNNNNNNNNNNNNNNNNNNNNNNNNNNNNNNNNNNNNNNNNNNNNNNNNNNNNNNNNNNNNNNNNNNNNNNNNNNNNNNNNNNNNNNNNNNNNNNNNNNNNNNNNNNNNNNNNNNNNNNNNNNNNNNNNNNNNNNNNNNNNNNNNNNNNNNNNNNNNNNNNNNNNNNNNNNNNNNNNNNNNNNNNNNNNNNNNNNNNNNNNNNNNNNNNNNNNNNNNNNNNNNNNNNNNNNNNNNNNNNNNNNNNNNNNNNNNNNNNNNNNNNNNNNNNNNNNNNNNNNNNNNNNNNNNNNNNNNNNNNNNNNNNNNNNNNNNNNNNNNNNNNNNNNNNNNNNNNNNNNNNNNNNNNNNNNNNNNNNNNNNNNNNNNNNNNNNNNNNNNNNNNNNNNNNNNNNNNNNNNNNNNNNNNNNNNNNNNNNNNNNNNNNNNNNNNNNNNNNNNNNNNNNNNNNNNNNNNNNNNNNNNNNNNNNNNNNNNNNNNNNNNNNNNNNNNNNNNNNNNNNNNNNNNNNNNNNNNNNNNNNNNNNNNNNNNNNNNNNNNNNNNNNNNNNNNNNNNNNNNNNNNNNNNNNNNNNNNNNNNNNNNNNNNNNNNNNNNNNNNNNNNNNNNNNNNNNNNNNNNNNNNNNNNNNNNNNNNNNNNNNNNNNNNNNNNNNNNNNNNNNNNNNNNNNNNNNNNNNNNNNNNNNNNNNNNNNNNNNNNNNNNNNNNNNNNNNNNNNNNNNNNNNNNNNNNNNNNNNNNNNNNNNNNNNNNNNNNNNNNNNNNNNNNNNNNNNNNNNNNNNNNNNNNNNNNNNNNNNNNNNNNNNNNNNNNNNNNNNNNNNNNNNNNNNNNNNNNNNNNNNNNNNNNNNNNNNNNNNNNNNNNNNNNNNNNNNNNNNNNNNNNNNNNNNNNNNNNNNNNNNNNNNNNNNNNNNNNNNNNNNNNNNNNNNNNNNNNNNNNNNNNNNNNNNNNNNNNNNNNNNNNNNNNNNNNNNNNNNNNNNNNNNNNNNNNNNNNNNNNNNNNNNNNNNNNNNNNNNNNNNNNNNNNNNNNNNNNNNNNNNNNNNNNNNNNNNNNNNNNNNNNNNNNNNNNNNNNNNNNNNNNNNNNNNNNNNNNNNNNNNNNNNNNNNNNNNNNNNNNNNNNNNNNNNNNNNNNNNNNNNNNNNNNNNNNNNNNNNNNNNNNNNNNNNNNNNNNNNNNNNNNNNNNNNNNNNNNNNNNNNNNNNNNNNNNNNNNNNNNNNNNNNNNNNNNNNNNNNNNNNNNNNNNNNNNNNNNNNNNNNNNNNNNNNNNNNNNNNNNNNNNNNNNNNNNNNNNNNNNNNNNNNNNNNNNNNNNNNNNNNNNNNNNNNNNNNNNNNNNNNNNNNNNNNNNNNNNNNNNNNNNNNNNNNNNNNNNNNNNNNNNNNNNNNNNNNNNNNNNNNNNNNNNNNNNNNNNNNNNNNNNNNNNNNNNNNNNNNNNNNNNNNNNNNNNNNNNNNNNNNNNNNNNNNNNNNNNNNNNNNNNNNNNNNNNNNNNNNNNNNNNNNNNNNNNNNNNNNNNNNNNNNNNNNNNNNNNNNNNNNNNNNNNNNNNNNNNNNNNNNNNNNNNNNNNNNNNNNNNNNNNNNNNNNNNNNNNNNNNNNNNNNNNNNNNNNNNNNNNNNNNNNNNNNNNNNNNNNNNNNNNNNNNNNNNNNNNNNNNNNNNNNNNNNNNNNNNNNNNNNNNNNNNNNNNNNNNNNNNNNNNNNNNNNNNNNNNNNNNNNNNNNNNNNNNNNNNNNNNNNNNNNNNNNNNNNNNNNNNNNNNNNNNAAACUCAUUAUUUUUCUGAACCAGAAUUCUUUAAUAAUAAUAAUAACUAGUAAUACCCGUGGCGCUGCCACGUUUGCCAAUUAAUUGUAUAUUGCAUAGUAAAUUCUAAUUUUUAUGAAUAUAUUUUGUUUGUUCUACUUAAAUUUGAUAACUAUAAAUUCACAUAAUUACAGAGUUUGUUUGUCAUUCAAAUUUAGCUAUAUAAUUGGUAUGGUAAGGAGAGAUACACAUAGGUUAGACGCAUAAGUUCAUUUAUGAAGAGAAGGCAUGGAGGAGUAUGGCCAAAUAGAACAUGUGAUGCUAACCACUAUGGGAGAAAUUGAAUUGAAACCUAAAAAAAAAAAAAAAAAAAAACAAUCAAGGCAAUUCUAGUACAUAUUUGUGCAGCAGAUAUAUUAAUCGAAUAUAUUAAUAGAAUACCUAUAUUAUCCAAAAAAUUUCUACUUUGAAUUAAAUUAUUUUUCAUGUUUUUUUAUAGUUAUAUAUCCUUUUCUUCAGUCUUCACCUCGAACAUUUCAUUCGUAAAUAAAUUGAUUCUUUUGUUUGCUAUUUGUUUGCAAUCUUCUUCUUCUAAAAUCUUGUCCGCACGACAGUUUUUAUUCAUGAAUAUGAUCCAUUUUUUUUUUAUCUUUCCGACUAAAGUAUCCAUUUUUUUUUAAUCCAUCACAAAUUCACAACCAAUUUCAUUACACUUGAUGUAGUGCCGAUGACAAACUAUGGUAGUGUUGUAUGGAGUCUGCAAUUUCUACUUUGGAAAAAUAUAUAAGGAGUCUGCAAUUUCUAUAAUGUAACUCAGUUGUACUUUGGUUGCUGAGUUUCAUCUAAAUAUUCUACAUUAAUACCAACCAGAAGCAGUUGAACUUCUCAAGAUGGUACAAAGGUGAUGAAUAUAAUAACAAUGUGUUGACGACGGGUUCCAUGAAUAUGUAUUUCGUAGGAUUGGUUUUGCUAUUUAGAAAGGGCUUGCAUCGUAGUUUGUAGCGUGUUGUCAACUUGUUUGUUGAGAGAAAAGAGAAUGCAGCCAAUGAUCACUUCCAAAAUAGACUCACCAUCCAAAAGGAUCACCUGCAAAAAAUUACAUAAGUUAAUAGAAGUUAAACUCAUCCAUAGAAUUGUAUACCUAGUAAAUAAGUUGCAUUGAUCUAAAUGAAAUAGAAAGCACCUGAAGACUGUUCAGCCUUUCCUCAGCCUGUCAGAAGAUUAGAGAGACAUGAAAAAUACAGGUAAAAAACUUCUCCAAAAAUUUUGGAAGAUCCAAAACAAACUUCAAUACCCAGCGAGGCUAUAUGCAGUCAAUUGUACUAAAUUUUAUGGAAAUAUAUUAAUAAGAGAAAAAAAUACAUGCCUGAGCAGAGUACAUUGUCAGGUAACAGUUCUACUCAUGGGGACAUACCCCCAUUUUACAAUUUUAGAAAGUAACACUCAAAUUUCCCCUUGCAGCCCCAUAAAACAGUCAUACAUACAACUGUGGAAAACAACACUAAAAAAAGCUUAUAAAGAACUACCCAAGUCACCUGCCAAAAAAACUACACUACUGAUUGUGGUACUACUGUUUUGCUCUCCCAAAACAGUUUCGCUGAAGACUGAAAAAUUGCUGCACUUUGUUUUGCUGACACAUCUUGUUUUGGAGCUUCCACACCAUUGCUAUACCACCAUACCUUCAGAAGUUCAGACAUCAGCCCUGCAUAAACUAUUUCAUUUGUGCUUUAAAGCCAUGAAUAUCUGCCAGUUUCAAUUGUUCGUAUUUAUGUUCGCAUAAGGCUAUGGUUUGGAUUUCGUUGGGCCAUUGAUCAACUGCUUGCGUAUAAAGUACCUGAUAACCAUAUACAGUACAUUAACAUGAACAUAAAAAGUACAGGAAAUUUACGUAACAUCAAAUUUAUAUAGUGAUAAUUUUGUUACUGAUCACAUUUCCUCCAAAAUAAUAAAUUAUAAAACUCAAGAAAACUUAAUCAAUAGUUAAUUCGCAAAUAGAAUUGUACCGAAUGAAAAAAAAUUAUUGCAGUACAUGGGUACUGAAAUUCAAAAACCCUUAAAAGACAUCCUAAAAGUUGAAAACUUGAAUAAUGAUAAAUUUAAAAGUACUACUUUGAAACUUUCAUCCAUAGACCGUUCUUGUGAAGCCAUUAGUUUAAUGAACAUAAACGGCACCUGCACCAAUUAGUUUUUGAAUUGAGAGAAAUAGUUGUUGAACAAAUCCUAAUUUGAGUUGUGAUGAUGUUGAAGAGAAGAGAGGAGAAAAGAAAAUUUCAGAAUUUAAUUAGCAAUCAUUUGAGAUAAUCAAGCACAACAAAAUUGCAAACAAAAAUAUAUUAGUAGAGCAAAUCAGAAAUUAAACGAAGACAAUUCCAGAAGUGACGCCUUACAACAGGGAAUAUAUACAUCUUUACAAUCAUAGUCUAGUGGAAGUGAAGAAUUCACCUUAGUUAAUGGAGAAGGAAGAAACUUAUUGGUGCAGUUGUUGACAGAGAAAUGCACCUUAAACCAUUCUCUAUUGUUUCUUUGGAAUAACACAAUAAAGAGCCCAUAGACUGCAUAUAUCGAUAUUGUGGAUAAAACCUAGACAAAUGGAUAAGCAGAACCAUCCAAUGUGUUCUUCAUCUUGUUUUGUUCUUUCCUCGGAAGAUCUCAAUUAACCUAUACAUUUGGUCCAUUAAAUGAAUUUAUUAGUUAAUUCUUAGUCAACCUUUUUGUUACUGCAUUUAGAUCAUAUUAUUCAUGUAAGAUAGUAAAAUAAAAAAAAUAGAAAAACAAACCAACCUCUUCUUGUUUCCAUUCAGGGAGUAAGUAUCACCUGCACUGAACAGUGCUUGAAAAGGCGGCAAGUCUCCUCAUCAUCUGUUACCAUGAGUCCAUCCUAUAUAGCAAGAAACUCUUUAAACAAUUUAAAAAAAAGCGUCUAUAGGUUAGUGCUUGGUAGAGAACUUUAAUUUGAAAAACGGGUUGACAACAUGGAAAGCAUCAAUUAAGCAAAACUUCAUGAAGCAGCAUUUGAGAUUUUAGCAUUUUUUUUGUUGAAAGAAAAAGGUAAAGAAAUUGAAGAAAGGCGUUUCACACUACGUUAUCAGCCUAUGACACUAUAAACUCAUCUUCUUUAGUAGGGUAACUAUAACUGCUACAACUAAGACUCUUCAAUGUGGUCAGGCGGAUUGCAAUUUUAUCUUCCUAAGAUGAAUAAAUCUUAAGAAAUGAAAAACCUUUUAUUCACCUUGAAAAAUGAUGGUCAAACCAUUUCCUCAUAUUGCUUACGAAUCAAGGCGAUCCUAGGUGCAAAUAAAUCAAAUGCAAGUGACAAUCAAACCAUCAUAACCUACGAAAAAUAGGAAUUGUAUUAAGAAUAAAAACCAGCAACAAAACCAAGUGUAUUUUAAGCUCUGGUACAUGCGAAUGGAACAGAAGCGAACAAACCUUAGAGAUAUAAAUUUUAAAAGAAAAAAGAUAAAGAAAAAACCAAAAGAUGACACUGUGUAGUUUGGCAGUGUUAAAUGAAAUAGAAGAAACCAUAUGACCGCAUAUUCAGCCUACACGAUCGACAUAAAUUUGACUAUUAUUUGCCCAUGCACGAAUUUAUGGCGGACUUGGGAAUUUACAUGUUGGCAUAUGACAGAGCUGGUAUGGAGAGAGUGAUCCAAACCCAAAGUUCUCAGUGUCAAGAGCUUGCUGACCUUUUAUAUACCAGUAACUGCAGUUUGGUAAUAGGUAUGCAUAUCUCAAUGAGUUUAGAACAACAUAAUUCCUUUCGUAAGCUUUGUGCUUCCUAUCAUCAUGGUCCUAAAGAGACUUCCAACUUGUGUUGACUUUUGAGGUUAAUUACCUAUCAUACCCAACACAGGCAUCUCCAGUGGGAGACCUAAGUAUCUUCUGCGAUGGCUUCCCUAGAAAAAAAAAAUAGUUAUAUCACAUUACGCGAUCUCAUUCAUAUAAAGAUAAUAUUAUAUAUCAUAGUAUAUAUAAUUAUACACUUACUGUUCUCUUGUUACGCGUACUCAUGAACAUCCAUUGUUAGAAGAAUUGUCUUGACACUUUUGUCCUUUUCCUUUUCCAGUGUUCAUGCCUGAAAUGAAAACCUUUAAUGUAGAAUUAAUUCCAAUAUCCAUUGUUAGAAAAGCAAUAGAUGCAUGUGAUGUGUGUUACACCUACAGAAGAUCCCUUUUCAUGCAUUAUAAUGUAAAUAAAGCCUUAUGCCAACAAUUAAUCCAAAUAAAAAUAAAAUAAAAUAAAUAAUAUGUGUAGUAUCAAAUUUUCUAUUCAACUAUACUACGUGUAAUUCCAUCACUGGAGAAUGGAGUUAGAAAAUGAUAUCUAACUGAAGUAAGUCCUUACAUAAACCAAAAAAAUUAAAAAAUGGGCAUACCUCAUUGAGCAAGUUUAUUGUUAUAAUGGGGCAGGUUCUUAGUUUCCUAUGAAUAAUAGUACGAAAUCAACCCUGUAACAACAAAAACAUAAUCUUUAUGAAAACGUAGAUAAACAUAACAUUCUCAAAAUAGUAGAUGAAAGUAUAAGAGUAACAUUCCCAAAGUAAUACUGUCACUUUUGGUGUUCUAGGAAAACAACAAAAUCUACUAAUCAAGAGAGUCUAAGAGAGUAUAUAGAGUAAUACUGUCAGUAUUGAGUAGAUGGAAUGACCAUUAUGGUUGCAUUUAUAAAACUAAACUGUCUAGAUAUGAGUCAGAGUCAUAUGGAUCAAUAAUGGUCAGUCAAGGCACAAUUCAUAUAUUUUACAGUAAGGUGGUAUUUGGUUCCCCAUGUUGAUAUGUGAAACCUGGUUGAAAUUUACUGUAAAAUUCACAGUAGGGUUCUUAAAACACAAUACAAAGUUGUCGCAGACUGCCCAAAAUAUAUAAUAAAUUCGCAGAUUAAGAUAUGAUGACAUGGAAUUCUGAUUUGUCGCACAAUCAAUGAAUGGUUUUGAUGUUGGAUCUGUUAAACUUAAAUGACAACUUGGUUCGGGAAUGCAAUGAAUGCAUUAUCAAUAAAGAGUUUGAUAUUGCAUACAGUCUGAGGACCACAAUCUGUUUCGGUAUCACACACCCGAAAUGGAUUCACGUUGAAUAUUAUCGACACUUCUAGGCUUAUAGAGAGGGGAUAUGUUAAUGAUCAGGCUCUUUAGAUAAUAUAGCCAUUAGUACCCUUUGUACAUCUGUUUUGAUAGGAUAAUAAUUCAGGCACAAUGUUACAGGCAUAUUUUUAGGAAGGUAACUUUAGUACCCUUUUGUACAAUAUAAUGAUUGUUAAUGUCGAAAUUGCGUAAUAUAUUUGGUCUUUGUAGUGAUCUUAUGAUUCUUCACCAAUGGAGGUCCAAGCUUUAUUGUUCAAAGUUAUCUAGCCUUAUAAAAGGUCUCUUCGACUGGUUUUUAUGGUGUUGAGUUUAAUAAAAGCAGGAACUGUGUGGGUGGAACAAAUCCCCAUUAUUGCUUGAUUUUUCUUCGUGAAUGAUGUGCUUAUAGUAUAAGACGAAUCUAUGCAAGGACAGUUAGGUGACCACAGUUUGAAAUCUAUUUGGUGUGAAUGUUCCAGCUUCAAUAAAGAAAAGAAACAACCUUUAUAUUAUGAUUUCUAUGCUAUUUAAGGAAGUUCAAAACUAAGUCGAUAUUGAUAGUUUUCAAAUAUUGGUGAAAUAUAGGUGUAUUUCAGAGGAUAUGAAAUUUUAUAUAACUAUUAGUUCCUUCUGGCAUUAUUUCACAUUGUAUGAGAUGGGGUAAACAAAAUUGAAAUUCCAAAUAAAAAAAACAACUUAAUUGGUUGAUGUAUAAAAUUCAGAAGAAAAAUUCAGAUUGUUAUUACAGUUGAAUACGAAGGACGUUCUUAAAAUGGUUGAUAGUAAGUGAUCAAUCGAUUGGUGAAGAAUAUGAAGAGAGAGAGAGAGAGAGAGAGAGAGAGAGAGAGAGAGAGAGAGUUUUAAGUUCAGAAGAUUGAGAAAGACAGAGAUACGAUAUGUAAACAGGGAAGAGAUACGUAUGACUAAUUUCUCUUCGUAGCAAUCAUGAAACGGAUAUAGAAGAGCUCAAUAUAUAAUCCCCUGUGUCAAGUAUUGCAUAUGUUUUAACUGCUGGUGUACCUAUAUAGAAUUCCAUGAUAUACUCGCCAUCUGGUGGCAAUGGUACAGUUUCAAUAGAUCGAGUUAGGUGAAGCUUUAUUAGAUGACGUCGCUUGGAGAAUGAGAUAUAAUUCACAGCAGGCUGCUGCCCAUAAAAACCCCACACUGUCGGACGUCCGCAGUGGCUAAGUGGGGACAAUAUCGGUGGUGAUAUAGGUCGGGUCGCUACAACAGUAGCCCUUUUCAAAUGGCAUGAUGAUUGACGGACAUAUAUUUAUGCAUACUACUGAGGAAACACAAUUAGAGUAGCAAUUUUCAAUAGAUAAAUGACAGAACAUUCUGCAAGGACAUCAACCACAGGGUCUCACUCCAGGUUUGAAGAAUCAUUUGGGUUUAGUUGCAGUCACCUACUUACCUAAGAAAACUAACUAAAGAUAUUUUGAGAAAGCUCAUCAUUCAGUAGUCCUGGUUAUAUUGUACUAUCAAACCUAAAAUUUUCUAUUCACAUUCUCAAUAUGCUUUACCAAACAUAUGACAUUCAGUAAGCCCCAGCAUUCAUCAUUGACAAACUGAAGCCUGACCAAUUCCAAAGAUGUUAAAAAUGAUAAGAUUACAUAUCGAUUGGUAAUUUGUAGACUGCUUAAUUUAUGUGAUUUAUUGGAAUAGUAAAGGAGGUCAGUCAUGCCAAGAUAGAAUGAUUAGAAUGUAGAGUAAUCUAUGUUUAGUAUGAUUACCUACCUAAAAAAUAUAUAUAAAUAACGAUUUUAUAUAUAUGGGAUGACAAUUGGUACGCCAUUUUUAUUGAUAUUGUUGAUGUUAGAUUCAUGGGGUUAAGAGUGUGUUUUAAUCUGUAAUAGGCCAGGAGUUAUAGCUGGUAAGGCUGCUGGAAUGUCAGUGAUUGCUGUGCCGUCUCUUCCAAACCAGUCUGAGCUUUCCACUUCUGCCGAUGAGGUGAUCAACUCUUUACUUGAUCUGCAGCCUGAAAAGUGGGGGCUGCCACCAUUUCUAGAUUGUAUACCCCUCAAACCAUCAUUUCCUUUUUUUAAAAAAAAAUUAUAUUAGAAAUAAUUUUGGAUAAUCACCCUGAUUCACUUGUUGAUAUGAUAUUGCAGGGAUAGAAGGUACUUUACCAAUUGAACCAUGGUAUAUAUGGAGGCCCUGUUAUCAAGGGUUUUGGUCGUGGCUCCAAGGUACUUGGGAUACCUACAGGUGUGUACCAACUAUCAACAUGAAAGGCCCAUGCGGCUGCGACCUUUUGUUCACUGAGCUUGCUUAAGUGAUCCUUAAACUAUAUGUUCUAAUACUAUUGACCUAUAAAAAAUAGUUGCCUGUUUGUGACAUAGAUUUCAAUCAUCAGUUUGUUUGAUGCUCUUACUUGAAAGACCUUUAUCUUUCAUCCAUAUCUAUAUGCAUCUUAUAUUUUCUGAGGGAUGCUCCAUACUUGACUGGCUCGUUGGCUGGGCUAGACUGUCAACACGAGGAGUUUAUAAAAUGGUCAUGAGUAUUGGUUGGAACCAUACUUCCACAACACCGAAAAGACCAUAGUGCGUAUUAAGUACACUUUUUUUCUAUUUUCAGUAUUUUAGAGGGAGUAUAUUUCUUCUAUAUGCCAUUUUGGGCAUUGUGUAUUCUUUCGCAUCUUAAGAGGGUUUUUUUGUUUCAUUCAGGAGCCUUGGUUACUUCAUGAUUUCAGUGAGGAUUUCUAUGGUGAGGAGCUACAUCUUGCUAUUGUUGGUUAUAUACGACCAGAGGUAGAUUAGCAUAUACUGUACUUGAGUUGAUCACUUCAAAGUUCUUACAUCCUCUUAUUUAUCUGACUGCUUUUGUUUAAUUGAGCAGGGCAAUUUUCCAUCCUUGGAGAGCCUGAUAUCAAAAAUUUACGAAGAUCGAAAAAUUGCGGAGAAUGCUCUUGAUCUUCCUUUGUAUGUGCGCCACAAGGAUGCUCCAUACUUGACUGGCUCGUUGCAGCCAAAGGAGCAUGAUUAGGAAAACCUAGUGGUAUGAUGAUAGGUGGAAGCGAAGGGAUCAAAAUGAUGGUUGUUUAUGUAAUCUUUGUAUUAUUCUUUCUCUUCAUCUAAUUUCCAUGAGGUGAUUACAAUUAAAAAACAACAAACGAUUAUUUGUUACAGUGAAAUUUGAGAAGAGAAGAGAAAGACAGAAGUUGGGGAAGAGAAAGAUGGGGACGGGGAUGAAGAUUGGGGUUUUAAUCUUAGUCACACUAAUUAUUAAUCCUAGUCACAUUAAUUUAAUCCUAAUCACACUAAAUAUUAAUCCUAGUCAUACAAAUUUAAUCCUAGUCAUAGAAAUUAGUCCUAGUCAAAUUAUGCACCCUUUGUAGAUUAUAAAUAUAGAUAUAGAUAUCCAAAACAUAUUUCUGAAAUCUGAACCAAUUAAACAAAAAACAGAUAUAGUAAUUAAUAACCUAAUUAAUAAUACUAAUAAUCUUGGGCCUGAUGGGCUGCCCUAUGUUCUUCAAAUUCAUCUUUUCCAAGUUGUGCUCCGCAGACUUCGCAAAUUAUAUCUUCUUGUUCUGGGCCUCGUUCUCCAGAUUCUUCUUGUUCUAGGCCUUCUUCUUCUUCUUCAGAUUUCUCUUGUUCUGGGCCUUUCUCUUCAAUCUCCUCUUCUUGGGCUUCUUCUUGGUCCACACUUAGAGCACCAAAGUGGUUUUCAAUCACUUCAAUUUCUCCAUCAUAUAGUAUUCCAUCAGCACCAUCAUUUCAUCACGAUCAUCACCGUUCAUCACAACAAAUAUCCAUUCAUCCUUUUCAUCCCCACCACCACCAUUCAUCAUCAGCAUCAACAACAUCAUGAUCAUCAUCUUUCACUCUUUGUAUCUCCCCAUACCACUUAAAUUUCAUUAUAUAUAUAUAUAGAGAGAGAGAGAGAGAGAGUUUUGUAUGAACAAAUACUACUUAACAAUAUCUAUGUUGGUAGGCUAAGCCGCCCAAUAUAUUUGAGCUGUGGGAAAAUUUUAAAUUUCUUGUAACAUGGAUCACAACAAUUCUUAAUAAUGUCAGUUCCAUAAGUACGACGCGCCUGGCCACAGCUUGAUCGUCUAUGUAUUGUCUAUUUGUCUACAGCUCAAACGAAGUUGUGUAUACAUUUCUUAUUGAUCGAGCUAUUAAAUAACGAAAAUUUGCGGGCGAAUAAUAAGAUUUCGGUGCGCACCCUCACCAAAAAUCCGGGCUACGCUACUGCACUCUACAAAGUUUUUGUCCAUGUGCAAUAAACGGGUUCCUUUCUCAGUUCUCUGCCCAAGUCUAGCAAAUAACGCCUCCAGUAUCCUUCACAACUUUGCAUUUAGUUUACAGAUAUACUCUCAUGUCAUGAGUGAUUCUGUUGAGCACAAUCUCCUUGGUUUGCUCUGCAUUUCUGAAUCUUGUAUGAUUCUGUCCAUUGGAUCAAAUGGAGUUCAGAUUGUGAUGGGCUUUUAACUGUUUGAAAACUUUACAAUGGGCUUUAGCACAAUUGUUUCAAUUGAAGACUUGUUGAAGUUCCAAACCCUUAGCACUUAGCACUAGCAGCAACACUGAACAAUGAAUGUCAUCUGUCAAAGGUACUAUAGUACAACAAUGUUUUAGGAAGAAAAUGAUCAGAACCAGAACAUAAAUUUUACGAUCUCAGAUCGAUAGAGGCAGAAACUGGACACAUGAGAUUGUGAUGCAUAACGUUACAAUGCCUUAUGAAGUGGGCAAGAUCAUCAAUUUCCCACUUGCAUGCCAACCCCAAAAGCCAAGAGAACAAAAUUUGUUCAUUAUCUUGUUUUCUUCAUCUUUGAUCUUGAUAAUCCAUCAUUCUUUUGCCCAAUAGUAACCAUGCAUAAAAUUUACGACAAUAAUACAGCGGGCAUAUAUGGUGCAAGUUCACAACGGGCAACCCCCAUAGGUUUAAGGACAGAUAGUGAUGAUUGAGCAUGCCGACAUCCAAACAAGGAGCAACAAGAUAAUGUUUAUGAUCGAGCUCCUGGAGAGGUUUUGUUCUAUACUGCUUAAAGAAGUACUACUGAUGCUUAAUAUGCAUUUAUUUUCAAUAAUGUUUAAGGAAAAAUUUAAAUUUCUUGUAACAUGGAUCACAAAACAAAUUGGUUCAUAUUAAUUGCUCAGUACAAAUUCAUUCAAAGAAGGCAACCCUGCUCAGUAUAUAUACAUUCUUAAUAAUGUAGAUCGUCUACGUACAUAUACGAUCCGAUCGUCUUGGGUAUAUAGAUCCAUAUGCCAAAUUACGAUAUGAACAUGCAUGUGGUGACAGCAAUGAAACACAUGGCAUGAUCAAGAAAGAAAGACCCUUUUCCUUGGCCCUGCAUUGUCGAACGAACAAACACAAACUAUGUAUAAAAAUUGAUUUGGACCAUAUAUAACAAUAGCUAGCAUAUGGAAUUCAUAAUCUAAUUACCAUUUAAAGGAUAAAAUGUGACCAGUAAACUAAUAACUAAAUCACUUGUAGUUGAAUAAAGAUUACUUAAUCUGGAUAUAGAUUCAAACCAUAUCAAUUAAAUUUCGCCCCCCUCGUCCGCAGUGACAGUAGGGUUGCUUUGGUUGCUCAGUCUCAGUGUCAUCAGUGGUCCUAGAAAUGAAUAAUGACAAAACCCUCUUACCCCUGAAAUAAGCUGAUGUGGAAAAACUGUGUUUUCUAGCCAUUAAAACCAAUCUCUCAUAGAUCUUUUUCAUAGACCCCAUUAUAACCACAGUUUCAUUGCACUUCCAAAAAAACCCUAAAAACAGCUUUUUUCUUUCUUGCUUUCCUCAACACAAACUCUCUCUCUCUUUCUUUCUCUCUUUUAACUCUCAUUUAAAUAGUGCAUAAGUUGCUGGCUUUGGUUUGGGGAUACUUUAUAUAAGUCUAGAUAACAAGAGAGAAAGAUAACAAAAGUUCCUACUUUCAUUUUCUUGUUUGGUUUCUUAGCACAAGACACAAGUCUCUUAUCUUUUUAGUUAGCUAAGCUAGUGUGUGUGUGUGUUUUUUUUUCUUUUCUUGAAUAUUUUUGGAGAAGAAAGAGUAGUAGAUCGAGCUUAAUUAUAGAAGAAGAUAAUAUGUCAAGCUGCACAAAUGUUCCUUCUGAGCAAGUCUGCUAUAUCCCUUGCAACUUUUGCAAUAUUAUUCUUGCGGUAUACAUGAAUAAUCAUCUUUCUUGUUUCUAUUUUGAAUCUUAGAUCUAUCAAUAUAUAUAUGUUUUUGUUAUUAUUUUUAUUUUUCUCAAUUAUCUUGUUGUUAGAGCUAGUCAGGUCUCCAUCUUGAGACUAUCUUUUUCUUCAUAUUUUGCUUUCAAGGACAAGUCAUACCUGGAUUGACAGAUCAGUGUGCUAGAGACUACUCAUGAUUUAGUCAUUACAACAAUAUUAUUAUUGUACCCAGAGACCAGAGAGAUCAGAGCAGAAAAAGAUAAUUAGAAUUGUUUGUUGUUAAAAUCUUGGUGAUCAGAUCAUAACAACUCUCAUAUUGAUCGAGAUGAGGGUGUCUUCAUAUCUUGGGAAUCAAAGUGAUCUAUUUUUGCUUGUAAUUUUCAUCCACUUAAGAUCAUAAGAUAUGCUUAUCUUCUUAAUAUUUCAUUUCCCCAGAAAUUAAAGAGUUUUCUUCUUAUCUUCUGCUAACCAUCUAGGUAUUCUUUUCUAUUUUUUUUUUUUUUUUUUCAAUUUCAAAAUAAAGAUCUUUGUAUAACUGGGAAAAUGAUUCCACUGAGAUUCUCAAAUUUUUUUUUUUUUUUUUUUUGUUUUAAAUCAAAAGGGUGUGUAAUUAUAUUGAUUCUAAGUAAAAAAAUGGAAUGUUUAACCCCAACCCUGAUCUAGGGUUUCUUCUUCUUUCUGGUUCAUGAACAUUGUUCUUGGGGUAAUUUGUAAGUUUGUUUGGUUAAUGUUGUGCAGGUGAGUGUUCCAUGCAGCAGCUUAUUUGACAUAGUAACCGUACGAUGUGGGCAUUGCACCAAUCUCUGGUCCGUGAACAUGGCAGCCGCUUUGCAGUCUCUCUCUUGGCAAGAUCUCCAGGUAUGUUAUACUUUAAAAACUAGCUAUAUAGCUAGCUAGAGAAUCUCCAUCUCAUUAAAUUAAAACAACUACAUACUACUAUUUCUCCAUAGCUUCUGAAAACUAGGUUUUCUUUUCUUUAUAGCUCAAAUCAAAGUCAACUCUGAUCUUCAAUUCAAUCACUUUAUACAAGUUGAUUUCUCUUCUAAACCAACACUGUAGACUGUAACAGCCGCCAUAAUCUCCUUCACCUCUCCAUAACCUAUUUUUGCUUUUAGUAGACCUGUCUGUUUGUUUUUGUUUACACCUUAGCUUUGCUUUAUACAACUGUCAUUCAGGUUUCUUUUCAAAAAGAUAACUGUUUCAGUCACCUCACAAGUCACAACCCUUUCUCUCUUUGGACUUUGGAGUUUGGAAUAUACCCUUUAAGUCUAAGAUUUACUUUUAUAUGUUGUUCAUGUUGGUUAUUUUCAGACACAAAGCUUCCCUUUACAAGAUCACAAGAUUGAUCAUCAAUUGGGUUCUACUUCUUCAAAAUGCAACAAGAUCUCAAUGCUUUCAUCUGCUACUAACAAUGAAGAAAGGAUCAUUCACCGUCGUGAGUUUUCGAUCUUCUUAUAUACAUAAUAUGAUCUUACUUAUUUGUUAAGAUUACAUGAUGUAUCUUAGAUAUCAUCUUCAUCAAACAAUGAUUAAUGUUCAUAUCUGUCUCAAUGCAGCUCCUGAGAAGAGGCAAAGGGUGCCUUCUGCAUAUAACCAGUUUAUAAAGUAAUAGAACAGUGAAAUAUAUAUCUCUUCUUCAACUUUUUCUUUCUUUAGAAGUUAAUGUUAAGUGUUAUAAAACUAAUGUUUACUAAUGUGGAGUGCAGAGAGGAAAUUCAAAGAAUCAAGGCUAAUAACCCAGAUAUCAGUCAUAGGGAGGCAUUCAGUACUGCAGCAAAAAAUGUAAGUGGAUGAUUACCUAAAAAAAAAUAAAAAAUUUCUUUCUAGUUUAAGCUGAAAUUGAACUUGUUCUGACAAGUACAUAUUUUUUUCAUAGUGGGCACAUUUCCCCCAUAUUCAAUUCGGGUUGAUGUUAGAAGCCAACAACCAGGCCAAGAUGAAUGAGGUAAAUAAUUAACAUACAAAGAAAUUUUGGUAUCACUUAAUUAGUACAUAUCUUUCAUGUGAUCAUCUUCAUACCAUUUUAAUUCCUUUUCUUGUUACUAAUCAUGAAGUCUGGUCUACACUUGUAGGUUGGCCUUGUUUGCUAAAUAUAUAUCAAUGGAGUAGUUAUAUAUGUAAUGAAUUCAAAGACUUUAUUCAUAGUCAGAGAUUUGGCAACUUUUUCUUUCUAUUUGUCCUGAAAUCUUAACUUCUUUAGGUUCCAUAGUACAAUCAAACUUUAUGAAUGUUGUAAACAGUUUUUUGGUACAUCCCAAUGAGCUAAUGUUGUUACACUUGAUAUGUGCAGGGUGCUGAGAAACAUCUAAUGACAACAGCUGCACUAUUUAAUAACUGAUGAAGGCAUGAAGCCUUGAAUUGAUCAUGAACACAAACCUUGUUUUCUUCCAUGUUCUGUUUUUUAAUGCCUUGAAAGAACUUGACUCCAGCUUUUAUCUUAUUGUUCUUCAAGUAGACUCUAGUACAUGUUAUUUGUUGUUCAUCUCAAGUAAAUUGGAACUCUAGCUUUUUCACACAUUUUGGAAUUAUAUGCCAAUCAUCCUUGUCUUCAAACUUAAAUUUAAGUCAUAUUGGAAAUUUUGUGCUCAUAAAAGGAGUACCAUGGAAGUUUUUACGUACUAUAAAGAAUAAUGAGAAAUGGCAGUGGGGGUGAUGAGAUUAUAUAUCUAUAUAGAUUGAAUUGCAUUUUAAGCAAACAAGCUUGAAUAUGUAUAUCACAUAAAAUUUUGAAUGAUUCAAGCUUAUAAGGUCCUUUUCACAUCUGAAAAAAAAAAUUCAAUAAAUCAAGCUGUGGGGUCUAAUAAGAAGUUUGUGAAGCCUGUAUGAAGCACAUAUAUCUACAGAAUCUAAGCAUUAUCUGUGAUCAUUUUUCUAGGUUGGGUUGGUAGUAUGGUAUGUCCUUUUGAAUCUUGGUUAGAUCUGUGAGUGAUUUAUAACUUUUGUCAGAUCUUUAAUAUUGUGUGGUUGAAGGGAAAAGAAGGCAAGGUCCUUUUAGAUAAGUGCAAUAAUAGUAGCUACUGCAACUUGUUUCUUAUGAUCCUUAGAAAGUCUGUUAUGCUGGUUUCUAGUAUUGUAUACAACAAGAAUGCCACGUAAGAAUCGACGAUUAUAUACCCUGAGAUGACCGGCGUUACACAAACCUUUUGGUAUGAUCUUCCAUUGUGUUUUCUAUGUGGGCUCCAAAUGUACCUCAUACAACUUAGUGAGGGGUUCAUGGUUACUAACAAAACGAACAUUUUUCUGUUGCUAGUCUCAUCUAGUAAACAUUUGGAUGGAAUGAAUGUUUCGGCACAUGUUUUGUCAUCUAAUAAUAAUGAUUUAACCAUAUAUGUAUAUGUUCUCUAUCUGCAUGUUAUGCAGGUUUUGAUGAUCACACAAAUAAACAAUCGUUUGCUAUUACUAGGCUAAUCGGGGUUUGUUUGUUUUUUUAUUUAUUAUGAUAUUGAUGUUAGAAAACUUGUUUUUAUUUCUUUUUCUUGUUAAGCUGCACUCCCUUAUCACACAUUUCAAAUAUUUGUCUAUUGGUACAAUUUGCAUCAAUUUUAUUUAAUUUGCAUUUCAGUACUUAUAAAUACAUAAACUUAAAAAGUUCGACAAACAACCAAAUUACUAUAUUACUAUGGAACAUAUAGUCGGUAUAUGAUAUGUUAAUUUAAUGAUAAAAAAAUUUACGUAUUUUCUUCCUUAUACAAUUUGUAAUAUUGGAGGGAACCAAAGAGUGAAGGUGAUACAGAAAUAUGGUUAUCUGCUAACAUACGUCUGGAAAUAGAGUAGGCUUUAGUUUGUUGCUAAUGGUCAGAGUAACUGGGCUUUAGUUUCUUGCUAAUAGUUAAACUAAAGGAAUAACAGGUUAGAUUUAGGGGUAGAUUGUAAUCACCUAAUUAUUCAUAUUAGACACAAAUUGUUUCAUUUUUCACAAUUGAACACAUUCUAUCUCAAAACUAUAUAUUUGUGAUAUUUACCUUCUACAUAUUCACAAUAGACUUUGGAACAUUGGCAAUUUAAUUGUUUAUAUAUGCCGAUCCUUAGAAAACUUUUAACCGUACAAUUAAGAUAUUAAGGGAUUUUUUUUCCAGCUAUGUAAAACCUACACUGACCGAAUUUCCCCACAAACCCCACCAACAAACUGAUGUGGCAGAUGAUGUGUUAUCUCCACGUCAGCAUAAGUUGACCAAUUCAACUUUUUUCUCUCUCUUCUUUUAAUAUUUUUUUCCUAUCUUCUUCUUCCCUAAUUUUAGCAAAGAAAAACCCAAAAAUAAAAUUCUUCAAACUUCUUCUAUUUAAAGCUUGUUUUAGAAAUGAAAUGAUAAACAAAAAUUAAAAAAACAAUCUAGAAAAAAACCCAAAUUGUAUAACAAAAAUUGAAUUUUGAAUCAUUUGAUUCAAGUAAAAACAGAUUCAUUCAAGUACAACAAACUCCUCUUUAUUUAUAAAGAUGAAAGAUUUAAAAUUGGUGCGCAUAAAUUUUAAUUUCAAUCAAUAACUUAUUUAUUUUGAAUUCUAAAUUAAUGGUGAAGUUAGAUACCCAGUUUAAAUGGAGGAAUGGAGAAAGAAGAGAACAAUAGAGGAAAGGAGAGAGAGAAUUAUUUGAUGAUGUGGACUAGCCACGUCAGUUUGUAGAAGUUGUUUGUGGGCAAAGUUUAUAAACGUAUAAUUAUUCAAAAAAAUAAAAUUAAUUCCUCCUCAUUCCAUGGUCACUGGAUGAGGAAUUGGAUCUAGGAAGUAAAAAAAAAAAGAUUUGUUGUAGUAAGCCUGUUUUUAAAUUUCAAAUAGGUUGUCCAAGGGUGAUGGGACACCGACACUAUAUGGGCUAACUCUGAAAAACAAAGAAUUUGCAAAGUGUCAAUCCCAUCAGGUCAUCAUGUUCUGUUUUGGACACCUAAUUUGUUCAUACAUUUUCUGAUUGAGAAAGUCAGUUAAACUUUUGCUCUAAAAUUGUGAGAACCCAAAAGAGAAGAAACUGGCAACUCUGAAAAGAAAGCAGUACUAGUAGAGUAGCAGUCAGAUACCAUUGGAUUUUGGAAUCUAUCUAUCUCCCUUUGUUUUUUCUUCUUUGUCACUCUGUAAAUCUCUCUCCAGUCUCAAUGUACAAUGUACAGUAUAUAUCAUUAUAUCAAGGCCUGGAAAUUAAAUAACUUUUGCUUAGACUUGAAUUUUUAUUUGGGUUGGGUUGGGUGCUACUGCUGGCCCAAGUGUAUGUAUUGGGUUUUCAAUUAGGCCAGGUUUUGCUCUUCUUUUUGCCUGAAAUCAAUCAAGAAGACCAAUGUGAUGUCAAGUCUGGCAACUGGCAAGGCCUCAAAAAUCAUUAAUGUGCUUGUUAAUAAAGUUAAUCUAUCUGUGCAUAAGUGCAUUCCUACCUUCUCAAUUCUCAUAUGCUAUAUCCCUUAAUCACCAUUGGACAACCUUAAUUAAUCUUUAUUCCCACAAAAAAUUCUAAUCUAGUUGUAUCAGUCUUAUCUGGUGGCCGCAAGGAUUUAAUAUCAUUUAUGUGACCAUGUCUUCUUCUAUUGAUGUUGAGCUCAUGUUUUGUUUCAAUGCAUUUCAUAUAAUUUGGUUGAUGUUCUCAUGUUUUGUGUCAGCUAACUUGGCUACUAAAGUUGUUAAAUGUUAAUUCAUUAAUCUACCUUAACAAUACCACAAACAUAUUUGAUUUUCUUUAAGAUUAUUUAUAGACUAUUAAUUGGCUUAGCAAUGGUUUCGCCCAUGGACAUUGCGUGCGUUCAUAUAAUAGUGAUUAGUCUAACCCUAACCUAAUAUUGGUAAAAUGGCAUUAGCAAUUUAGCAUUGGCGUGUAGUACUUAACAUGAUAUCUGUGCUAUUAAUUAGGUUUCUUUUAAUCUUAAUCAAUUAAGUUAUUUAGUUGUCAAGAUGAUUAGAUAACAUUAAUCUAAUUCAAAGUAUAUCACCACCAUCACAUUGUGGAACAAUAGACCACAAUCACUUUCAAGGUUGCUUGUGAGUUGUGACAUUAAAUAGGAAUAAGCUGAAGUUGUUUCUUUCGAUUUCCAGAUCUUCAAUAUACUAAGAUUGCAUUCCUCAUAGGAUAGUAACCAAUGUAUAGGUCUUACUUAACCUGGACAACUUGCAUGGAUUUGAAUUUUGUGUAGUCGAUCACCUUGCCCUAUGGCCUAUUCCAUGGAAUUAUGUUAUUGACAUUCUGUGUUUACGUGAAGGCAACAUAGAUACUCCAUUGGGGAAUCAAGACUUUGAUGUAGAAUCUGCAAAAGUACUUGAAUUGGUUAAAGUCAUAACCACUAUACAUGUUCAAUCUGAGGAGGCAGAUUAAGCAUUUAGCAUUACUGCAUUAGUGUUCUGUGAUAUAUAUGAUUACAAGUUGAGACCUCUUUGUUGAAAAUCAGAUGUACCUUAUCCUAUAUUUUAAGUGAAGUUGCAUACACGUACUUAUUUUUUUUUCAUCAUCUAGUUCCUAUUUGUUUUUGUUGACCAAUUGGCUGAACAUUUAGCUUCUUUUGCUGUUAGGUUUACAACAUAGCUAGAUCAAUGGAACAAUAUAUAAUGUGAAAUCAUUGAAUUCUAACCUUUACUUGUUGAUUGAAAUCACUUAGAGAGAGCAGAUAUGUUGAAUGUUAAUAGCAACCAAGGCAGUCAUAUAUUUGUCAACAACAGAACGUACACGUAUUUGUAAGUCAGUUCUACGACAAUGGAAACAUUUUAGAGGUUCAAGCAUUCUACCAAUAAGAAUGGAAUUUCCAUCAAAUGGACUUGAAUGAUCAUAUCAAAUGAAACUUGAAUUUAUAUUUGGAGAUCAUCACAAUAAAUUUGCACAUGGCACAUACUUGUAUCAAAUUCUAUAAGAUAUUCUAUGGUGCUAUGGUGCUGCAGGCAUGCCCUUUAAUAAUAAAUACCACAACAAUAGUAUAUAAGUUCUGUCAACCUAGUGCAACGGUGUGGAAUAAAGUUGGAUAGUGUACUGCAGUAAUAUUAUCUUUUUGUUAAUAAAGCAAUAGUUCAAACAUAGUGCCAAUAGUUUGAUAAUUUGGGUUUUUUUCUUCAUAGUAUAUGGUAAUUCAUGGUUCAAUCCAAUUCAAAUGGUUUGAUCUAACACAUCCAAAAAUGUGCUAUUUUUUAUUUCCACUCAAAUCCAAGUUGGUAAUAAGAUGAAUAAAUUAAAGAAAUGAAAUACAUCAUAGCUACGUUCACUACCACAUAAAUCAAAAGAAAAUUUUGAUUUUGUGAUUCUUUAAUGGGUUAACCAGCCAUUUUAAACCUUUUUAUGUUGACUUGUAAACAUAAGCUUUUUGACUAAUCAAAAGAAAACAAAAGUAAAGGUAUUGCUAACCAUGUAAGUUAUGUCGAUCCAUGGUCAUAGUUACUUUGUCAACAACCUCUCCAAUUUGUAGGGUAGUUCUCAACCUUUUCUACCACUUCAUGCAGAUGAAAUAGACUCUUUAAGACUCUUGGUUUCAGAUUAAGUGCCAAAACUAAAAGACAUACAGUACAUUUUAUUGGUAUAUUAUUACAAGAUUAAAAUAAAGAUUAUUGAAAUUUUGUCAAAAUUAUAUAUCUCGUUUGAAGAUUAUUGAAAUUAUUAGUAUCUAUUAACAGAAGAUCAAAUGGAUGUGCUCGGAGAAUAUUUAGGAUUCGACCUAUAUAUCAAACAGUCUGAAAUUUGGAUGCUUGAAAUCCUUGAGAAUAAAGAAUCAUGUGUAGGACUAUUAUUGGAACAGUGGUAUAAUUUCUUUCUCGGAAGAACAAAUGAUGCCGAUAAUGGUACCAUAAAUCUAGUACUUUUAAAUUUGUUAAGGUCAGCAUGUUAGAAUAAUUAAUCACAUUUUAGUGAUGUUAACUACAGCUUUAUAACCUAAAAUUUACAAAGCCAACUCAUAAAAUGCUGGCAUUAUCCAAUAGAUUGGAUUACUUAAUGUACCCAUGUUAGAAAAACCAUCCCAAAUAAUAUUAUAGUUUCAUCAUCGCCCCAACUCUGCAUUUUCUUAAGCAGACAAGUAAAAUAAACAUAUGAUUUGUUUGUUUAUUUGCUUUGUAUAUAAGAGAGAGAUCCAAUAAUCACCAAUAUCAAUGUACAGUUAACUAAUUCCAACGACUUACUUGUCUUGGAUUAAGUGUUUGUUAAUUCUCAUUGCUGUUAUUAAGGAAGAGUAUAAAGCAGAAUGACAGGAAAAUGAUAAGCAAGUCUCAAUAUGUACCCUUGUAAUGGGCACAUAGUAUGAACUGGCAAGAUGUUUGACCAACCUAUAUGAUCAAACCAUCCAAUAAAAAGACUUGGGAGUUAGAUUAUGGAGGCAAAAUGCCCUUUCAAAAAGACUCGUGAAGGUUGAAUGUUUAAAAAGCUAGACUUGGAAAAAGAAGGGUGGGAAAAAGACUUAUAAAGGGGAAAAAAAAGGAAAGACCAUCCUAGUGUUUCAUUGGAUGUUCUAACCUUUCAAUGAUGCAUAAGCUAAAGAAAAUUUUGUAUAUGAUGAUCUGCAUGUGUAUUUUUAAUGCAAUUUUUCAAUGAUAAGAAGACCCAAAAGCUUAAUGUCUUGCAAAACUGAUGUGGUGAAAGAAAUGUGAAGUUUUAUUGGCUUUCUUAAAUGUGAUAUUUACCUGCUAUAAACAUUAAUUGAAGGGUUAACUGCUCCCUGGGAUUGAAACAUUUCAACAAAACAUACCCCCAAAACCAACUUUUUUCUUUCUAAGAAAUCUGUUUAAGCAAAGCUAAGACAACAGUAUAAAGAGCAAGAAGCUUGUUCAAUGGAAAACUAAUAUACAUUAUUUUAAAAACAAUGGUGUCCACAUGGUAUGAGAUCAUCCAUUUCGUUUGUCUAAAUGCUGAGCAAAUAUUGCAUAGGCCGAUGCAUUCAUUCCAAUAAAAUUUUAUUAAAAAUACAUACAAAUGUUAUUUGGGAUGUUAAAAUUUGAAGGCCACAACUUGACUACUUCCUCAAAAAUAUUUCAAUGAUACUUUUGUAAAAAAUAUAUAUAUAUAUAUAUAUAUUACAAAUGUUGCAAAUUCAUGAAUGGAACAGCUGACAAACUUAGUGUGUGAAGGUAAAAUGAUGUACUGUAAAAGGAUUUCAAAUAUAUUCAACCACUUCAAGAGCAAAGUUAUCAUCCAAUUGAUACAAUGUUAAAUAAAAUAAGUAGGAAGAAAAAUGGCAAUGUUAAUAAUAAAAAACUAAUCAUAUCUAUGUUUUGAAGAAUUCUUACUUAGGUAGGUAGUUUUGUUUAAUCAAAAUUUUAAUAUGAAUUUUGGAUUAAUAAACCUUAGGGUGCCAGUGUGCCACUGCCAACAAAGCUUACAACAAAUACACUAACAUAAUACCAAGAAGGGAGAUACAACAAAUGUAUGUAUUUUGAAGCCUAUUCUUCUAUUGGGUAUAUUGAUAAAAAUUCUUUGCUUUUCUAUAAAAAAAAAUACAACAAAUGUAUCAUUUUUCUUGAAGGUUGGGAAUCUUGCAAAAUCAAAUUUGCAAAUCUUCCAGAAGUAUGUUUGUGAAAAUCAAUGAAGAAGGCACAUGGUGUUGUCAAAUGUUUUCCAGCACUUUGGAGUGCUAGUCUGCUGCUGGCUGCUGCUGCUGCAGAAUAAGUGAAACCAUCAAGUCAAGGCAUCAAGGAGGGGUAGAGAAGUGAAUUUACAUGAAGUAUAGUAAGUAGGUCCUACACUUGAUGACUUGAAUACAAUACAAUAGGCUAAAAACUCCCAAACCAGUCUGGUACAGGUGGUUGAGAACUUGAGAAAGCUUGACUCUUACCUUGCUUUUAUCCCAACAUGGCCAUAAAUCUCCCAACAGCAUUCAUUUCAACCUCAUCUAACUUUCUAUAUAAUAAUAUUAAUCAUUAUAUUUAGAAGGAUCCAAAAUCAAGAUUUGGAAGUUUAUAAUCUUUUUCUUUCCAGAUAAUAAUAAGCAGUCUGGUUAGUUUACAUGGUGGUGAAGAAGCUUAUUAGAACAAUAAAAACCCACUACUACUUCAGAAUUCAGAUCUUCCCCACCUUUUUCUUUUUCUUGAUGUGACACUACAAUUGAAUCCAAAUCAAACCUAUGAUUCUAUGUGUUUUAGACUUAAUUACCCAUCUUUGGAAAUCCACUUGUUUCUUCAAACAGAAUCAAGAAACAGGUGAGUGAGUUCAUGGUUUUUGUACUUCUUUGUAUAGGAUUCCUUUUCAUGGUUUAGAUGAAGAGAACCAAUUCAAUUAUUUGUCAGUUUGAAUCCUAGGGGUGUUUAUUAUGUUUGGUGUGGACUAGUAAAGAGUUGAUAUUGCAUGAUUUAGUACUUUCUUUCAGCUUGUCCUUUUUAGUACUUAAUUACUUUUGUGGUUUAGAUAUGAGUUUAUCUUCAUUUUAGACUUGGAAGUCUUUCAAAUCCUAAAUCUGUGUAGCCUGAUUGAAUUCAGGUUCUUGGUGUGGGUAUAUAUCAAUGGGAACUUGGGUUUCUUUUGGUUCUGUUGUGCUGUUUUUUUCAUGGUUUUUCAUUUUAUCCGAUACUUGUUUCGGUACAACUCGAAAUAUUGGACAGAUUCAUCCAGGGUUCAAAGGUUCUCAGAUGAAUUGGGUUGAUAAUGCUGGGUUGUUUCUCUUAUCAAACAAUUCAAAUUUCGGUUUCGGAUUCGACACAACUACAGAUGUCACAUUGUUUUUGUUAGCUGUUGUUCAUAUGGGAAGUUCAAAAGUAGUCUGGACUGCAAAUAGAGACUCCCUUGUCCGAAAUUCUGAUAAUUUUGUGUUUGAUGACAAUGGGAAUAUCCAUUUGGAAAGUGGGCAACGCAUUGUUUGGUCGACAAACACCACAGGCAAAGGAGCAACUGCCUUGGAGUUACAGAAUUCAGGAAAUUUGGUUUUGCUUGGAAGCGAUCGGACUAUACUAUGGCAGAGUUUUAGUCAUCCAACAGACACCCUUUUAUCUGGUCAGGAUUUUGUAGAAGGUAUGAGACUUGUUAGCAACCCCAGCUCGAAUAAUUUGAGCUAUCAUCUUAAAAUUGAGUCUGGGAAUAUGCUUCUGUAUGUAAACUUUCCAACCCCACAACCAUACUGGUCUAUGGGAACCGAGAGCCGAAGAACAAUCAUCAAAGUAGGUGAUGAUGUCUCCUCUGCAUCGUUGGAUUCUAAUUCUUGGAAAAUCUUUGAUCAAAGACAAGGUCUACUAUGGCAAUUCAUCUUCUCAAGGAACUCUAAUCCUAAUGUCACAUGGGCUGCAAUUUUAGGCACUGACGGAGUGAUUUCAUUCUACAAUCUCCAGAGUACAGGAUCAGCUGUAGAGCAAACAAAGAUACCUCAAGAUGCAUGCAGCACACCUGAAUCCUGUGGUUCUUAUUAUGUCUGUUACGGUGAAAACCGGUGUCAAUGCCCUUCGGUUCUUAGUUCCAGAAAUUGUGCGCCAGGGUUUGCCUCUCCAUGUAAUAACUCAAAGGCCCCAAUGCAACUUGUAGAUGUUGGAGAUAAAGUCAAUUAUUUCGCACUCGGGUUUGUUUCACCAUUUUCCAAAUCUGAUCUAGAUGGUUGCAAGAAUGCAUGCCUUCAAAACUGCUCUUGUGUUGUGUUGUUCUUCGAAACAAGUUCUCGGAGUUGUUAUCUUUUUGAUCAGCUAGGAAGUUUGAAACAGAGCGACCAAAACUCUGCUGGGUUUGUUUCAUACAUUAAGGUCUCAGGUAAUGGAGACCCUGGGGGGAACUCUUCUGGGAAAGGAGGUGGUGGUGGCCAAAAGAACACUCAAAUUGUUAUUAUCAUAGUUGUUGUUACAAUUGCAGUUAUUGUGGGUCUACUUUAUUUAGGAUUUCGUUACCACAAGAAGAAGAAAAUGGUGCCGGAGUUUCCUGAUGAUAUGUCAGAAGAGGAUAAUUUCUUGGAGAACCUAACUGGAAUGCCUAUCCGGUUCAGUUACAAGGAGCUUGAAGAUGCCACGGACAAUUUUGUUGUGAAGCUUGGUCAGGGUGGUUUUGGAUCUGUAUACAAAGGAAAGCUUAAAGAUGGAACUGAAAUAGCUGUGAAGCAAUUGGAAGGUAUCGGUCAAGGUAAGAAAGAAUUUCGAGCUGAAGUGAGCAUCAUUGGAAGCAUCCACCAUACCCAUCUAGUCAAACUCAGAGGGUUCUGCGCAGAGGGGUCUCACCGGCUUCUUGCAUACGAGUACAUGGCUAAUGGUUCUAUGGAUAAAUGGAUUUUCAAGGCAAACAAAGAAGGUGUCAAAUUAGACUGGGCGACAAGAUACAGUAUCGCCGUGGGGACAGCUAAAGGGUUGGCUUAUCUUCAUGAAGACUGUGAUGUGAAGAUUGUACACUGCGAUAUAAAGCCUGAGAAUGUUCUCCUUGAUGAACAUUUCCAUGCCAAGGUCUCGGACUUUGGACUAGCUAAGUUGAUGACCAGGGAACAGAGCCACGUUUUUACAACGCUGAGGGGUACAAGAGGAUACUUAGCACCUGAAUGGAUCACAAACUACGCCAUAUCGGAAAAGAGCGAUGUCUACAGUUAUGGUAUGGUUUUGCUUGAGCUUAUUGGAGGAAGGAAGAACUUUGAUCAUUCGGAGACUUCGGAAAGAGCUCAUUUUCCUACGUAUGCCUUAAAGAUGGCAGAAGAAAAGAAACUGAAAGAGAUCCUCGAUCCAAAUAUAAAGAUUGUUGAAGAAGAUGAGAGUGUGUACACAGCAAUUCAAGUUGCCUUGUGGUGUAUACAGGAGGACAUGUAUUUGAGACCAUCCAUGAGUAGAGUAGUGCAAAUGCUUGAAGGUAUUUGUGCUGUGCCUGAGCCUCCAACCUCUUCUCAAAUGGGUUCCCGCCUUUACUCGAGUUUCUUCAAAUCAGUAAGUGAUGGUACUACUUCAUCGGGACAUGGUACCACUUCAUCAGGACUCUCGGAUUACAACAGCAAUGCGUAUCUUUCAGCUGUUCGGCUAUCAGGACCAAGAUAACAGAGGCUAGUUACAGCAGAUUGAGAUAUACUCAAUAGUGUUUUGAGUUUUAAAGAAUGAGCUCCAUCUAUAGAGGUUCCAUGUUUUUGCCUCCUUUGUACAUUGUUUAUAUUCAUAUUGAUAUAAAAGCUCCAAGUUUAUAGUACUAGCUGUUGCAAUAUCUUAAUCUUUUGAUCUAUGCUUUUCUCCAAUUAUCUAUUCUGUACGGCUGUGUUUGAUUGCAACUUUAAAAAAUAGAAUGCACACUAUAGUGGGAAAAUUUGGCCAUGGAGGUUAUCAUAGCAGCUGUAGGAGUUGGACGAUGAACUGUAUCCUCUGUGAUUUAGUUGAGGCAGGUUUUAUCGUCCCACUCCUACAGCUCAUAAAACCUGCACCACCACCAGCAAGAUAACCUUCCCCAGCACCACCGAGAAAUCCUGCUCCAGCAGCACCAUGAGAGCUACCUUUAUAACCUUUACGUCCAUUUUAUUUAGAGCUACCUUUACCACCACGAGCUGCACCACUGCCACGACCACCUCCAAUAGAACCACCAUCCACUGCUGCCAUGAAAGCUACCUCCGACCGCCACGUGAGGCACUGCCACCUCCACCUGACCUACUACUACUAGUAUGCCAAAAAAAUAAAAGUUCAUCAUUCUUUUGGUAUAGCAUUAGAGAUGUUCCUACAACAGCACACUGUUCUUUUAAGUUAAUGCCUCCUCAAUAGCUGCUGCCAUGCCCGAACGCCAACAUUCUUUUGGGCGCCAACAUUCUUUCAAUGGCUCAUUCAAUGGCAGUCUGGCCAUGGCCAUGGCCGAGUACUCCCAACUACUGAAUAGGAGUUGGAUGGCUCGGUGGCCUAGUCUAUGUGACAUCUCGUCUUAUCUAAGGAAAAAAUAAAAAAAAAGGCUUUGGGAUGUAAUCCAACCCAACAAAUGAGAGACAAAGUACUUAACGCUUACCCCAAGCGUUUUGAAGGACUCCAGGUACUCAGGUUGCUUCAUACGCAGCUCAUGAUUUUCGUUGCCUACUUCCUUCUGUCAAUCAUGCUGAAUUUCCACAGAUCACUUGGUAAUGCCAUCUUGAGAGGCAUCCGGUCACAUACACAAAAGCUCAUUCACCAAUAAUCUCCACAAGAACACAUUUUUUUUUUAUUUUUUUUUUAAUCUCCACAAGAACACGCUCAGCUCCUUCCUUGAAAUGGUGAAACCUACGAGCGUCUCUAACAACAAUCUCCCUAUUUGUAACCUUAGAGAUGAACUUUGUAGCAGUAUGAUAAUCACCACAAACUCUAAGGUUCUUCAUGAUUCGAAUGACACCUGUUGGACCUGAAUUUAACAGUCCAAAAACAAUAGCUAGCUUCUCACUAUGCAAAUAUAGCAUUUUGUCCUUUAUUUCUUCCUCCACAUUGUAAGUACCAAGCCGGGCCAGGUGUAGCACUUGAAGCAUAGGAGUUAGGUAGGGAAAGCAAACCGGGAAGUACCCAAUCAAAGUGUAGAACAUUCUAGGGCAUCACGCGAAAAGCACGUGAUGCCUGGCUGUCAAGCAUUCACCCUAUAGUAUGUGGUGAAGAAUGAAACACGUAAGAGAAGGGAGAACCAUCAGAUACAAAGGGGAUCCUACGGUUAAAGGAAGGCGGUGGAUAUUACUAUAAAAGGAUCAUGGUAGGGUUCACUAAAGGUAACUGUUCAUUCUUUGCUAAAACCUAUUCUCUAAACCUAGCCGCUUACUGACUUGAUCGUUGGAGCUUUAUCCACCGGUCAUUGUCCGGUGGUCAUUGCAGGUACUACCAUUGAAGCAGUUGAAGGACCCAGCUAAGCUCAUCAAGGAAAGUGGGCUUACACACAUCAUGCAAAGUGAAGUUCGUAUCUGGAACAUAGCCGGCUUUUCGAAUCCUAUCCAUUAACUCUUUGUAGAUCAACUCUGUUUGUGGAUUUGAUCUGUCCCCAACCACAAAGGUAUAUAUUUUAUUCUUGACUUCUAUGACAGUAUGACCAGCAGUUUUUCUCAAUUUUAUAUGCUUCAUUAGACCUCUAAUCAGAUCCGCUUCUUCUCUUUUGCCUAAAGACAUAUAAACAGUUCAAACAGAGAUUUUGCGGCCAAUUCAGCAAACUUAACAUUUGAAUGUAUCCUGCAGGCUCCCAAUAGAGAACCCCAAACACCAGAGUCUGGCUUCAUUGGCAUCUUUUUAAUUAGCUCCAUAGCUUCUUUCAACCUCCCAGCUCGGCCCAGCAGAUCAACCAUACACGCAUAGUGCUCUGACCUUGGAGUCAAUCCAAAUUCUCUAGUCAUAGAACUAAAGCACCUCCACCCUUCAUCCAUCAAGCCGAAAGGACAGAUAUAAAUGUAAUACGAUCUGGCUGCACAAAACCUUUCAUCCGAUCAAAUAGAUUGAGUGCUACUAUUCCUCGCCCAUGCAUUCCAUAUCCCGAUAUCAUGGUGCUCCAUGAAACAACAUUUCUAUAGCUCAUCUUGUCGAAAAUCGUCCGAGCAUAUUCCAAACUUCCACUUUUGAGUUUUGACAUAAAGGUCAAUUAAGGCAGUGUCUAGCAUUAAUUCACACUGGUAUAAGCUUCGAAUUACAUAACCAUUGUAUAUACCCAUUACCGAGUUCUACCACUCGGAAUACCAAAUACCGACUUCACUCAUUUCGCCCGACCUCGUAUUUACUUACACUUCACUCAUCUCCACUCAAAUCCUAAUCUCACUAACUCGGUAUACUGAACACCGACCUUGCACUUAUUUCAUCCGACUUCGUAUAAAACCACAUUUCACUCAUUUCUGUUUAAAUCCUAAUCUCAUAAAAUAUCCGAGCACAUCCGACUUGGGGCUAUCUCACUCUGAACACCGAGUUCCAUAUAUUCAAACUCCAAAUCCUAUGUCAGUUACGGAUCUCUCUCAUUGAAUCCCUGAAUAUCCGCAUAUUUUAUGAUUCGAACGUUGAGUCAUUAAUUCGAUCCACACCCUAAGCCACCUAUAUAAGGAACUACGUUUGGCUUGAUUCUGGAUCGCCCCUUCCAGAUACGUAGGCAGCUGUCAACGCUCAGAUAGUUCAGCCACUCUCAAUCACUCAAAACCUUCCUUUCUCCGAUCAUCUUUUCCAAUUCUCCGGCAUAGAACUUCUACUACAUUUACAUUGGCGCCGACUGACUGUGAACGAAUCAUAACCUGACGAAGACCAUGGCUGGAAUCACACAAGAGCAAUUUGAGACCUUCCAACGACAACUUACUGAACAACAGGAGCAGAUCAACAAGUUGCUAGCUGAAAACGCUCAACUGAAAAGCCCUACCAUCCCUCCGGCAGCUGGCCAAGCAACUGAUGAAAUCAACACCAACAAUCCCAUUGUCAUACCAACUUCCAGCAACACCACUGCCCCCACCAUGGCUGAAAUGCAAGAAACCCACAACCGCCUCCUACAACUUUCAGCCCAGCUUCAUAAGAACAACCAGGAAUCGGGUAAGGCCAAUAUUGCUCAAAAGGUGGCCAACACCACCUUAGAAAAAUAUAGGACAGAGCCCUUACACGAUGACCUCCUUCAUCAAGAACCACCCCCACACUUCAUUCCCCCUAAGUUCACAACCUAUGAUGGAAGUGGUGACCCCAUGGACCAUGUCCUACAGUUUAAAACCAGCAUGGCACUGUGGCCCAAGUACAAGGACAUCUUCUGCAGACUAUUUUCUGCCUCACUCCGAGGUAGUGCUAUCGACUGGUACCACCGACUCCCAGAACGAUCAAUCACGUCGUACGACCAGCUUGAGGCACUCUUUGUCACCCAAUACAUCCACAAUAAGCGGCGAAAAAUUGAGGUAACCGCAUUAUUCCGACUUAAGCAGGGUGACACCGAAACAACCAAAAAAUUCAUGGCUCGCUUUAAGAAGGAGUGCCUCAAGGCAGAUAGCCCAGAUGAGAACGCAUGCCUGUUAGCGUUCAUCUCGGCCGUUCACCCCGAAACCGCCUUGGGGAAAAAUAUCAUCCUCGACGCACCACAGACACUGGAAGACCUGUAUGUCCGGGCCGAUAAGUACAUCAAACUUGAAGAGGCACUGGCAAAAACAAGAGAACAUGUCUCGGCCGUACAGACGGUUAAGACCAAAAAUCCCAAGCCGAAAACAACAAAGGGUACCUCCCGAGGAAAGCAAUCGAACAGCUCGGUGAAACACAAGUUUCCUAACCCGUUCAAAUGUUCAUAUACGCAGCUGUAUGAACUAAUCAAAGAAGAAGAUUACUUCAAGCCAACAAUUCAUGAGCUUGAACCCAUAGAAGAAAAUCCAUACUGCAAGUUACACAAUUGCCGACAUCAUGCAACAGAAGAUUGUCGGUAUCUCCGAACUUAUUGCCACAAGCUCAGGAUGGAUUGACACUUGAAUGACUUCUUGGCAGAGGAGUCCGAUGACCUCCGCCAGAAGAUUACUGAUAAGCGCAAAAGAACAGACAACGCCUCUAAGGCAAAAGGAACGAUAAACAUGAUCAUGGAUACUCGUCCGCCUGAAUGGACAUCCCGAGCUAAGCGACAGAAAGUGAAUCAUAUUCACCAUAUAUUUCAGCUCACUCAUCAGGCAGUGAUAGCCAAGCAGGUGCAAGGAAAGAAUGCACUGAUCUUUUUUGACCACGACUUGAAGAAGGUAUGCUUGCCACACAAUGAUGCACUAGUUGUCCAUAUCCGACUUGGUGGAUGGACCACUAAGAGAGUGCUAAUAGACCCAGGGAGCUCUUGUGAUGUAUUGUUUAAUAAGGCUUUCGCUCAAAUGCUCAUGCCCGACUCGGUCUUACAGACCCCCAAUGUCACACUCUUUGCUUUCAACUCGACAGAGACAACGGCAAAGGGCCAGCUUACCCUCCCUGUCGCUACAGGAGAGGAUGAGGAUGAGGUUACAGUUGAAUGCCUCUUUUAUGUCCUCGAUGUUCCGACGCAGUUCAAUGUUAUCCUGGGUCGAAAAUGGAUUCACAAGAUGGGAGCUGUUCCGUCUACAUACCACCAGGUCAUCAAAUUCCCUGGAUCUAAUGGUAUAAUGGAACUCCGGGGUGACCAAAUUGAGGCGCAUGGCUGCCACGCCAUUCCUGAGGUCAUACCCCUCCCCAACAAGGAAACAACAAAGGUGACAGUCGUUAGCCCUGACAAGCUCACUGUCAACCAGAUAUCUGAAGCCACUGAUGGCAUGGCCACUACUCAACCAGAUAUCUGAAGCCACUGAUGGCAUGGCCACUACUGAGCCGACCUCUGAAGCCCCUGAUGGCAAGGUCGGUACUGAGCCAAAUUCUGAAGCCCCUGACGGCAUGGCUACUACUGAGCCGAUCUCUGAAGCCCCUGACGGCAAGGUCGGUACUGAGCCAAUUUCUGAAGCCCCUGACGGCAAGGCCAUUUCUGAGCCACUCACUAAUGCCUCUGAAGGCAAGCUUGUCACCGACUCCCCAACCAUCGAGAAGGGUGAGCCAGUCAACAUAGGCACGGAAGCCGAACCUAGAGUUGUAUAUGUAGGAGCUAAUCUAGAUCCUAUUGUAAAAAAGCAACUCGUUGCAACUUUGAAAAUGAAUAAGAAUAUUUUUGCUUGGUCGUAUAUUGACAUGCCCGGAAUAGAUAUUAAUAUUGCAUGCCAUAAACUCCAUGUCGAUCCAACAAAAAAACCAGUAAAACAAAAGGCACGGAAAUUGGCCCCCUGCUUAGCUAAGGCGGUCAAUACCGAGGUCCAGAAACUAAUUGACGCUAAAUUCAUACGAGAAGUCAAGUAUCCUGACUGGCUCUCGAACAUAGUAGCCGUCGUGAAACCAAACGGCAAAAUUCGAGUAUGCAUAGACUUCACAGAUCUAAAUAAGGCAUGCCCAAAGGAUAGCUUUCCACUACCAAGGAUAGACCAACUAGUGGACGCUACCGCUGGCCACGAACUCCUCUCGAUGAUGGACGGCUACUCAGGGUAUAACCAAAUUAAGCUCGCAGAAGAAGAUCAGGAAAAAACAGCAUUCAUCACGGAAAGAGGCACUUAUUGCUAUACGGUCAUGCCCUUUGGGCUACGCAAUGCCGGGGCUACAUAUCAACGACUCGCGACACGAAUGUUCGAGGAUAUGAUAGGUGACACCAUAGAGGUAUACGUAGAUGAUAUGAUAGUUAAAAGUAAACUCAAAUCAUCUCACAUAUCCGACCUGGAAAAGACCUUCAAAAGGCUCCACGACUUCAACAUGAAGCUAAACCCACAAAAAUGCCUAUUUGGAGUAGCAUCAGGAAAGUUUUUAGGCUAUCUAAUCACGCAACGAGGAAUAGAGGCUAAUCCCGAGAAAAUCAGGGCAAUAUUGGACAUGCCGAGUCCCUUAACGAAGAAGCAAGUCCAAAAGUUAAACGGAAUGCUAGCUGCACUAAACAGGUUCAUUGCUCGUGCAUCCGACAAGCAAAGACCAUUGCUACAGCUACUCAAGAAAGGUUCCAAAUACGAGUGGACGACAGAAUGCCAGUAGGCAUUCGACGAACUAAAGCUUUACUUGGCAACCCCGCCAGUCAUAACAGUACCCCAGCCAGGGGACGUACUCGGAUUGUACCUAGGCAGCUCCGAACAUGCAAUCAGCGCUGUCCUCUUCAGAGAUGAACAAGGUAACGAACGACCCAUUUAUUUCAUUAGUAAAACUCUGCUACAAUCCGAACUCAGGUACUCUAGUCUCGAGAAAGUAGGACUAGCCCUAUUAUUCGCCUCUAGGAAGCUGAAACCAUACUUUCAGUCGCACAAGAUUAGAGUUAUAACUGAUGCCCCAUUGAGGCAAGUGUUGGAAAAUAGGAACAAAUCAAGUCGAAUGGCUAAAUGGGCCCAGGAGCUGGGGGAUCACGAACUCAUUUUUACGCCCCGAAAUAGCAAGAAAGGCCAGGUCGUCGCCGACCUGCUUGUUGACUAUCCAAUCGAAGAUAUCACCUGGAUACCCGAAGAAGAACCGCGGGACGAUUUCCCACAAGGAGAACCCAUGUGGAAGUUAUAUGUAGACGGAUCAAAAAAUAAUAACGGAGUCGGGAUAGGUAUAACACUCAUAUCUCCCGAGAAGGUAAUAAUCGAGAAGUCAAUACGUCUGAACUUCACCUCUUCGAAUAACGAUGCGGAAUACGAGGCCCUCGUAAUGGGCUUACGUAUGGCAAAAGACAUUGACUUGCAAAAAAUCAAGAUUUAUAGUGAUUCUCAAUUAGUGGUAAGUCAAUUACUGGGGGAUUACGAAACAAGAGAAGAAACACUCAAGUUAUAUCUCCAAUACACGAAAUGCUUGCUAAGCAGUUUUGAGAAAUGGGAAAUCCAACAUAUUCCCCGGGACGAAAACCGCCACGCAGAUAGUCUCGCCUACCUGGCAUCCCAAGUCGACACGGAAAACGCUAGGGAAAUACAGGUCGAAAUAAGAAGCACUCCAGCAUACGAAGAUAAAAUCCAUCACGUCAAUACAAUCUCAGACUUCAUCGACAUAUCUGAACAAGAAAUCCAGGAUUCGUGGAUGGGCCCGAUAAUGAACUACAUCAAGGGAGUCUAUCCAGACGACGAGUCGGAAAUCAGAAAGCUAGAACGAAAAACUAAGAGUUACUUGAUCUUAGAUGGAAGGCUAUACCGGAAAUAGGUCCGAGGACCUUACCUCAGAUGCUUACCUCCUAGACAAGCUCAGAUGAUCCUAGCAGAAAUUCACCAGGGACAAUGUGGAAACCAUGCCGGGGCUCGUUCCCUAGCACAGAAAGCAAGAAAUCAAGGAUACUUCUGGCCCUACAUGCAGGCCGACUCAGAGAUCUUUAUGCAACAUUGCGACAAAUGUCAACGAUUCUCUCCUCUACAAAAUCAACCCCCGAGAGAUCUCAAGACGAUAUCCAGCCCAUGGCCAUUUGCCAUGUGGGGGCUCGAUAUUGUAGGACCGAUUUCGAGGGAUAGGAGUAAGAAACGAUAUCUCUUAGUUGCCACAGAUUACUUUACUAAAUGGGUAGAGGCAAUUCCACUUCGAAAAAUUAGACAACAAGAGGUCAAGAAUUUCAUUUGGAAAUACAUAAUCACUCGAUUUGGCCUACCACACACAUUGGUCACUGAUAAUGGCCAACAAUUUUUUGGUAAUACGAUUAAGGAGUUUUACUCGGAUUGGCGAAUCAAUCACGCACUAUCUACACCAAGAUACGCACAAAGUAACGGCCAGGCUGAAGCCACUAACAAGACAAUAAUGAAUACGCUCAAGAAAAAGUUAGAGGCGGAAAAAGAUAAGUGGAUACAGGAGCUAGAUAGAGUCCUAUGGGCCUACAGAACGACUCCACGCACCUCAACAGGCGUCUCACCAUUCGCAUUAUGCUACGGUACUGAAGCUGUUAUACCCACCGAGUUAACUUACUUAACAACUAGGUCGGAAUUGGUAGAAUCAGAGGAAAACGAAAAUCUCCUCGCACAUGAGGUGGACAUGUUGGAAGAAAGGCGAGAUAAGGCUAUCAUACAAACAGCUCAUUACCAGCAAAUACUAAGGAGGAGCUACAAUCAAAGAGUAAGGCCAAGGACUUUCCGACCAGGAGACUUGGUCUUAAGACAAACCUUUCAGAACACCAAGGUCGCGGGUGAUGGAAAAUUCAACCCCAAUUGGGAAGGACCCUACAUUAUUCAAUCCGACUUGGGUAAUGGAGCAUACAGAUUAAUUGAUCAUGAAGGAAACUGAGUCGAUAGACCGUGGAAUGGAAAAUAUCUUAAGGCGUACAUUCCAUAGAAUACAAACUUCAAGCUAAGGCAUCAAUUCUACACUUAGAAUAUUUAAGGCAUGCAAAAGAUUACCUACAUGGAUAAAAUAACUUCUCCCAAAAUGAGGUAUAUAUUUAAACCAUUCACAUUCGAACAACCGACAAGAGUUGAGAGUAUACCACUUCAGUUUCUACAGCAUGAUACUUGUUUCAGAAAUGAACAAAAAACAAAAGCCUCACAUCUCUCAACAAAGAAAAAAGCUAGGCAACAGCCUCAUGAUCCAUGGCCUCAGCUCCUUCACCCUCCUGCACGCCGACCUCAUCAACCUGCGCACUAGCCUCGGCCACUUCAUCAUCACGCUCGAGUUCACUAGCCAGGUUAGCAACUCUCUCCAUCUCCACUUGUUGAUCCGAGUCGAACUGGGCUUGGGCUUCGGCAUUGAUCUGCUCAUUAUCGGCUAAGGGAUCAAAGUCGGGGAUGACUCCCUUAAGCUUCAGCUCACGACAGAUUCCACAUUGCUGCCAGUAAUAAGCCAUCUUCUGCCAAGCGGUGAUGCUCUCAACCGACCUAGCAUUGUCAGCCUCAUACCUCUCAUUUGUAGCUUUCAACUCGGCAUCAAGUGCGGCAUUCUUCUUGUUCACCUCCAACACUUCAUUGUUGACCUCCAACACUUCAUUGUUGAGGGCCCUCACUUUCUUCUCCUCCUUCUCUAGCCGAUCGCGCAGCUUCUUCAACUCGGCACGUUCGGCAGCGAGUGCCUCCUUAGCCUUCCUGGCCUCCCGUUCUUUCUCAUUAGCUCUCUCGAGCAGAGCCAUCCACUUGCAAUGGAUAAUGUUCAUCUGAAACGAGGGAUCACCCGAGAUUAGCCAAUGCAAGUAUCAGGGAAGGAAUAGAAAAAUCGAAUAGAAUGUACCUUGUACAUAGACGAGCUCAGAUCCUUCAAGUCGUCCAUGAUCGAACGCUCGCAUACCCGAGCCCCAUCAGCAUCUAAAGCCAUGUGUUCCAUCAGGGUGAUACACAUGUCUUCAUCCUCCCAAGCAGCAUCACUGGAUCUCACAUAAGUAUCCUUGUAAGGGAAUACAGGAGCAAAAUGACCAUCAGCAGGGCGAGUCGGAGGAACCUCAUCAUCUUGCUGGACCGACUUCCCUUUCUGCUGCUUCGCCUGCUGGGCACGAGCUCGCUGGGCCUCCCUCUCUUUCCCAGCUCUCUCAGCAUCGCUCAAGAUUGUUAUGCCAGGUGCAGCAACGGUUACACCAGCCGACUUGGAGCUCUUCCUCUUCUUCGAGGACUCCAGCUCGAUCUCCCCCCUACCGAACUGGCUACCUGGUGGACCAGGAAUGGGCUUUGGAGGCAUUGGUAGAGCGGCUCGGGUCACGAUAGGUGGAUCUCCGGGUCGAGGACAAGCAAUUGUGGCAACCGCCACAGCGGUAGGUAAGUCCUUCUUCUUUCUGACUGUCUUUACCUUCGAGACGGCUGGCUCGGUACGCGCACCACCAGCACCUCUUUUUGGACGGGGAUCCUUAAACAGAUGCGCAAGAUGUGGCAGGAUCGCACGCUUGCGUUCCCAAGACUCUUCUGCAAACUCGAUAAUGUUACCCGGAAGGAUGCGCCCGUCAAUCUUCUGAUUAUAAUCCCGAGUAUGAUCUACAGUACCUACCAAAAACGAGUCAGAGACCAUGGAGGAACACAGAAAUAAAGCAAGUGCAAAAUACAAAGCAAACGACCUAUAUACCUAUGCGGGGAAUGCGCAAGUGAUUCAGAUAUGCACUAGGCUUGAUGAACGACCCUCUAAUCCUAUAACAGGCCGACUUCUUCCAAUUAUCAUUGGAACUCGGUGCAUUGUAAAGGUCGUGAGGCCCAUGCUCAGCCCUCCUAUUAAGCGAAAAAGAAAAAUCACCAGACCGACCCUCCACACAGGUGAAAUAUGCUACGACGUCAGCCUUGCAUAUGUCAUAGCCGACCUUGUUCAGCUCCUCAAAUAUUAGCAUAACCCGCCAGAAGCUGCUGUUCAUCAUUAUCGGGGCUUUUUCAUAAUUAUUCAGGACGUCACAGACAAACUUCGAGAAGGGAAGUUGCAUCCCAACCCGCAGUUGACCCUCACAGAUCAAAGUCGAUGUGUCAUCCCCACCAAGAUCGAACAGCCUACUAUCUACCCUAUACAUCUCGAGAUCUCGAAUCCGGAUGUCGUAUGCUUCCCUAACCUUUGGAAAGGCUUUCCGAGCUCUAACGAUUUCUAUCUCAUGACGGCUAAUUAUGUCUUCCUCAUCUCCAGCUCGGCUAGUACUUGCCUCACCCUCACCACUAUUCUCACUAAUUCGCUCACUACCACUACUCAUCUUCCCCAAGUGAAAUGAAGAACAGAUGCAGAGCAACAAUGGCGGAAAGGAGUAAAUGGAACAGAAAAUCAAACAAAAGCGAUAAACAGAAGCAAAAACGCAAAUGCAAACACCAAAAUCAGGCUCAAGCAACAAAUUCCGGCAACGUGAACGGAAAAAACGACAACAAUUCAAGGAGAAUCAGGCAAAAAACUGAAAAAAGAGAGACAGAAAAUGAAGAAGAAGAAGAGAGAGUUACCUUCGAAAUAACUCAGCAGCGGCAGCUUUAAAACCUUUGCAAAAAACCCUUGGUUUCUUCCAGCAGUUACAAGCAACGUGUUUUAUAAAACCAUGUGCACAAUCUCAGCCGUACAUCUUCUCAACAAGCAACGGUCAGAUGCUAUUCCUCAAAUCCAACCGUUCAACCAUUCAAUCUCCCACCAAACCACGAUCGAUUUUUCAAAUUCAAAAUCAGCAAACAUCCUCCACGCGUACAGACAAAACACGUAUCUCAAGGAACAAUCAUGCCCUAAACCUCGAAACUAUAAGCUAGCAACCAAACCAGCACACAAUGGAAUAUUUGCCUCUUGGUGCUCCAUAAAGCUUAUCUUCACAGCCGACUCAAUUUUCAUUUACCCUAAAGGCAAUAACUUACCUUCAGCCCAAAUGAAAAGGGGCUAUGUAUAUACCCAUUACCGAGUUCUACCACUCGGAAUACCAAAUACCGACUUCACACUCAUUUCGCCCGACCUCGUAUUUACUUACACUUCACUCAUCUCCACUCAAAUCCUAAUCUCACUAACUCGGUAUACUGAACACCGACCUUGCACUUAUUUCAUCCGACUUCGUAUAAAACCACAUUUCACUCAUUUCUGUUCAAAUCCUAAUCUCAUAAAAUAUCCGAGCACAUCCGACUUGGGGCUAUCUCACUCUGAACACCGAGUUCCAUAUAUUCAAACUCCAAAUCCUAUGUCAGUUACGGAUCUCUCUCAUUGAAUCCCUGAAUAUCCGCAUAUUUUAUGAUUCGAACGUUGAGUCAUUAAUUCGAUCCACACCCUAAGCCACCUAUAUAAGGAACUACGUUUGGCUUGAUUCUGGAUCGCCCCUUCCAGAUACGUAGGCAGCUGUCAACGCUCAGAUAGUUCAGCCACUCUCAAUCACUCAAAACCUUUCUUUCUCCGAUCAUCUUUUCCAAUUCUCCGGCAUAGAACUUCUACUACAUUUACAACCAUGAAGAAAGGAUGCUAAAAGUGAGGAAGCACGAAUGACACUAAGGAUAGUAACAAAAUCGAACUGAAUUCUCUGUAAUUUCAUCUGCUUAAACAACUCUAAAGAUUCAAUAUACAAUUUAGCCUGCGCAUAAGCUUCAAUCAUGGAAGUCCAAACUACCUUAACUAACCAUUUCUCAUGUAUUUAAAGAAAGUAUGUUGUUUAAAUCCCAAUAAUUAAAUUAGAUGAUCCAAUCAGCUAUUAGGAGAACUAUGUUUUACCAUGACGAUAAUGGGGUGUAAAAUGAGUACAUUGUAUUAUGGAAAAAAAGAACUGAAAGCUAGACUAAAAGGCUAAGUGUCAUUUUGUACACAACAUGGGAAAUGAUAUAAAUGACUAUAACGACAUAUGAUAUGAUAUGAUGAGCAUAUUAUAUUUAUAUCACACAGAAAUACUAGCAUACUACAUAUCUGACUGAAUAUGCCUAUUGCAAGGGUAAAAUGCCCAUUAUUUAUCAUGCAACAGGAACCGUAUCCCCAUCAUGUUGCGUGAGUGUAGUGAUUAAAACACACAAAAUCUCAAUCUGUUGGCAUUGUUAUGAAGUAUGAACAUACAGCAGAACACAAAAAUAAUUCCUUGGAAUCAUAAAAUCACCCUAAUCCCUGUUAGUUUUGAAGUUAUCAUGAAAAGCCAAAGAUACACAUAUUUAUGGUUUUGAGAAACGGCAGUAUGAUCAGAACUUGCUACACAGUCACUAAAUUGUCAUAGUACUACAACUACAUACGUAGUACUUGGUGUGGCUCAGCUCUGCCAACAUUAUGGCUAGAUGUUCAAUUCCAGUUGCCUAACUGAUUAACUGAAAGAGAUGCACACAAGAUUAGUUCUAGAGGGCUGGUGCCUGGGUUGGCUAGAGAAAUUCCUGGUGAGCAGCAGAACUCUGUGGUGACUAUGAUCUCAAAUUUUCAGUAUGUUUUAACAGCUGAGCUCCAGUCCUGAAGAAAUGACAGAGGUUGAUACAUUCAACUCUGCACUACCAUCCUUAAUUACCUCAGGUGAGAUUAUAUCUAUGUUUCUUUUAAAUCAGCACUAAUGCCUCCAAUAAUGACUAGGUUGGUUUUAUCAUAAGGGUAAAAUUUUCUAGUUUUUCUAUACUGCAGUUUCUCAAAAAAGAUAGCAUUAUUUGUUUCAUGUGUUGUUUCAUUCUAGAACUCGACGACAUUGGCAGGAUUGAUUGGACAGAUUAAAGGCCUCUGAGUUAAUUCAGCAUGUUAAUUUUUGUUUGUAACACAAGAGCUUCAUACUCCCACUUCUAAAAGCCUUUAUUUCAUAAUUUCUGUCUUUCUUUGUUUGCGAUCUCAGCUCAGUUACAUAAAUUUUGCAAACUUUUGAAACAAUGAUUUAUAAGUAGGAUGAAUAUGGUGCAUCGAUCAGUGCAUGUGAGGUGAAAUUGUAGAGCGUAACCAUUAAUCUGAACAUCUAUCUUUACAAGGGUGUGUUAUGUAUGAUUGAAAAAGAUGUUGUGGUCAACAAGCUAAUAAAGAUGAAGUGAUGAACAAAUAAACAAAAGAGUCCUAAUACAGAUUGUUCAAAAAACUUUAACAAAGACCAAUAAUCAAAAGACCAAUUUAUAAAAAAAAAAAAAAAUAUAUGAACAAAAAAAAAAAACCCUAAACUGAUGGACAUGACACCACAAAAUCUAAAACUGAUAAAAGUUAAUUAGAAGGGUAUGGCGAGAACCAUAUUGGUGGUGGCAUAACAUAGUGAGUGCCACUUGGAUAUAGAAAUGUGUCUAUACUACCAUCUUCAAGAUGGAAAAUGCCCAUAUCAUGGCCUCCAAAAUUUCGUUUCGAGAAACGCCACCGGUUGUCAUCUGUAAAAUAGAUGCAGUUUGGCUUACAGCUAAAGAAAUCGUUGGAUAAUACAGAAAAGGAACUGUUGUAUCCCAAGAAUAGAGAGCGAUCUCCAAGGCUUUCAAUUUGUAUCCAAUUGUUGUUGGGUUUUGCAAAUUCCAACUUAAAAACUCUGAAUGCAACUGUCUUAUAAGGAUAACGCCGAUCGGCGCGCUUACUACCAUUAGCAUUUCCAAGAUAUCUAAGAACCACCAACAGAUCAUCUGACGAUUCUACUAUAUAGUAUUGACUAGCAUGCCGUACAGGAGGAUUAUCUAUAGUUCGUUCAACAGAUAUAACUGGUCGUUCUUGCUCUCCUUGUUCAUCAUCAUCAACUUGUGGAAGACCAUGGACACGAAGCACAUAGCCAUUACAAUUUACAGCAUAGAACUCGCCUCUGAAAAAGGUGAGAUCAGUUAAGUUACAGUGCUUCACAUAUAAACUAACUGAUGUCCAGAUAUGUUGAUGACUACCAAUUCUAUAAAAUGCUAAUGAUUUGCCCCUAUCUUGUAUGGCCAUAAGAAUCGUGCCAGAAGCAACUCUAGAUGACGACAUAGCCACUUUGUAUAUGUAACCAUCUCGCACAUGCUUGGCAUCAUCGCAAAAGUUUUCAUCUCUACCCAACGACUUGUGAAAAUCGGCAUCCCACUUAGUGCCAAUGUAGUACAGAUAGGUGGGAGCGUCUUCGUUUUCUUUCUUCUCAAUUGUCUUAUGCAUAAGAGGAAAUUCUGUGAGAGGAGGAAGAUGAUGGAUAACUCUUCCUUUGCUGCUGCUGGUUAAAGGGUUAAACAAUUGAAUUUGUGAAUUCUCAUGGACUGUAAUCAACCAACCACCAGGACAAGAACCACAAAUUCUUCUGUUCAAUAAUUCUGGAAUCUCUACUUUGUAAGUCUUGUUAUCAGUAAGACUGAAAAACCCAAUCAUAUCAUCUUCUUGGAAUGCCAUCUUAGUGUUAUGUGGAUGCUUAUAAUCCUCGAAACUGUAGAAAGGUUCAUCUUCAAAGGGUGGAUUUGGAUUGUGGUGGAAAGGAACUAUAAGCCAUGGAAGAUAAUUUUGAAAUUGCAUAGGAUCACAAACAGAUUUCCAUGAUUUACAGACCCAACCAAAACGAUAUAAAUCUGGUAGAUUCAAACGAUCUACCACCAGCUCAAGAACAUGAUCUGGGAGAACUUUUUCUGCCAUUGAUCACAAACCAAGUACUACUUGCUUCUCUUUAACAGAUCGAAUAAAAGGUUUUGUUAGUAAUAUAUAUUCACAUGCACGACCACGACCAGAACAAUUCCGUUUGAACUACAAGUUCAAUCACUUCAAUGUUGUAUUAUUGAUAGAAUGUCAACUUCGUUAAACUACAGGAAAUCUAGAGGACAUGAAUGAUAUAUCCCAUUAAAAGCCCAUCUUUCCAAAACCCUAUUGGAGAGUUCGAUCUUUCCCAUCUAUCUAUCUAUCUAUCUUCGAGGGUAUUCUCUCGACUCACUAGAAUCGAGGUUUAGACUUUUUCUCAAUAAACAGACUAUAAUACCCUUUUGGACCUGGUGUUUUAGAUUUUUCACAACUUAGAUUUUGGGCCUGUUUUUUUCUGUUUUUUUAGACUUUUAACUUCAUCAUUCCGAAAGGGUGUUAUUCUUCCCACCCAAACAAGUAGUCAAAAAACCCAAAUUUAUAAAUAGUUAAAAGUUGUCAAAAAAACCCAAUAUUAAUUUACGCCAUUGUCCUUAUUUAUAUAAUUAAUUAUUUGUUAAAUUUUGUUAACAAAACCCAACGCUAAUUUACACAAAACUAACUAUUUCAAAGAAACAUAGAAAACACCAAAUACUAUUGUUAUGAAAGUAUCUUCCUCCACCAUGGUUAUUGGAAUAUCCUCUGUAAGCAUUAUCAUAUUGAAAAGUGUGAUAUGAUCUUUGGACGAGUAUUUAUUUAGUCGAUGUUUGCAAUUGUGUAUCAAAAUCAUUUAAAGAAGGAAUUUUAUUGAGGUCUAUAUCCAUUAUCAUAUUGAAAAGUGUGAUAUGAUCUUUGGACGAGUAUUUAUUUAGCCAUUUAGAAGAAAAAAAAAACUAUUAUGUUGUGUGUUCCUCAUAGUGAAAAAUCUGUUUUGUGUUCAUCUUGUCCACUAAAACCCUAAAAACUAUAUUUAGAAAUUUUUUUCAUUAAAUUCUGUAAGUGGGUUUUUUCUCAUAACAUGCAGUGGGCUUUUUCUCCAAACAAAUUGGGUUUUUUGACAAAAUUUUGUUAUUAAGCUUAUUAAAAAAUAGGGUUACAAUAGUAAACUAGUAUUGGGUUUUUUGACAACUUUUAACUAUCUCUAAAAUUUGGGUUAUUUGACAACUUGUUUUUUCGGGAAGAAUAACACCCUUCCGAAACGCCUGCAGAAGAAAACAUUACAACUUCAACUUCUCCAAUUACACUCUUUGUUCCUCUCGGCUUCCUCCCACAAACCAUCUUCUUCUUUUUUCUUAAUCUCCUUCUAUAUCUUCCUUUAACCACUUUGCAGCUCCUCGCCUCUGUUUCCAAAGAUUAGACUCUCUUUUUUCCCUGUUCAAUAGUUGGUUUAAUGUCUGCUUCUACAAAUAUCAUGGAUCCAAAAUAUGAGUGAUGUUUUUUGUUUUUUUAGAUGUUUCAGUGCUCAUUCAUGUAUUCGAAAUUAAUAGUGAGUGUUUAGAUUCAAAUGUUAUAACUCUGUAAUUCAUUCAUUCCACAGUUGAUUAUUUAUUGCGAUUGGGUGUUUAUCAUAAUUCAUUUCCAUAGGUGGGAUCUAUAUUUUCUUUUGAAGCUAUGGCUCGGGUGGAAAAUCUCGGAUCCAGAUGAGUUAUUACGAUUUGGGCAAAUUUCUUUAUUGUUUGUACUGGUGAUCUAAUUUUAGACUUCCCCAAAUGCCUGAUCAACAUACUCUAUUUCCAUGGUAAGCUUGCAAGUAGCACUUAGCACAGUAUCCACGGAUUCCACGCCUCUCUUAUACUGGACCUUGAAAUAGUUACACUAUAAAUCUAAAUCUUCUCUCUCUCAAGUGGGGUCAUUGAGUGAUUCUUGCUAUCUUAUAUUUUUUUUCAUUUGUAUGUCAUUAAGUGUUCACUAAUUUAUGAUUGAAUCACAAUAUUGCCAGAAUUGACUUUAGUUUUAAACUACAACACUCGCUUCCAUGCCGAAGUAUUCUAACACACUGCCAACUUCCAAGUAAGUGCUUUUUUGGUGGGGGGAGGGGGGGUGUACAUAAGGGUGGCAAUCAGACCUGGCGACCCGAAACCCGACCUGAUAUGGGUCAGGUUUGGGUUUGAAUUUUUAGAGUUUUUUGGCUAAUCAGGUCGACCUGAUUGACCUGAUUGAUAAUCAGGUCAGGUUCAUGUUUUCAUUGCAAACCCAUCGGGUCGACCCGAAACCUGAUCCAAAAAAAAAAAAAAAAACCAUUUUUACUUUUUUAGUAUCUAUUCUACAUACUGCUGCUGCAUACAGCAUACAUUCAUUUCGUUCUCUCUCUCUUUGCGGCUCUCUCUCUCUCGGAUUUCAACUAAAUCACAAAUCAGUAAUCAACUUGUUCUCAAUUCUCAUCUCCUUCUUCUUCAAAUUUCAACUUGUUCUUGAGUUCUCUCACUCUUUUAGAACCAAUUCCAUUGUAAGAGGGGUUUUUAUUUUGAAUUCUUUUUUUCUAGAUUCAAUUGUUAUAUAAAUUCUUGUUGAAUGUAUAGAUUUUUUUUUUUUUUGUUGAUUCCAUUGAUUCUUACUCUCUUCAAUUAUCAAUUCUUGUUCUAGAUUAGUUUUUUUGAAUAAUUUUUUUUUUUUUUUUUAUAGAUUUAGAAUUAUUAUAUCAUUAAUAUGAAUAAGUAUGAAUUCUUGUUGAAUUUUUAAUUACUCUGUAAAAUUCCUUUGUGAAUUUAUAUUUUUUUUAUUGUCAAACUCAGAUUAAAUCGAUUAGGGAUAUUACUGUGAUGAAAAUUUAUAUGAUGGAUUGGUAUGUUUUUGUUUUUAAAAAAAAUGCAUUCAGGUUUUCAGGUCGACCUGAACCUGACCUGAUAACCUGACAGGUCAGGUUCAGGUUUCAUUUUUUUAGAAAAAAUCUUCAUCAGGUCAGGUUCAGGUUUAGGGGUUGAGACCCGAUAACCCGACUGACCUGACCUGAACCUGACCCGACCUGACCUGAUUGCCACCCCUAGGUGUACAACCAAGCUCAGAUUUUCUGUUAUUUUGUUUUGCAAUUUAAAUUACAAAAUCUCCAUCAAAUUUCUUAUUCUUUUUUUGCUUGGGUAUAUUCAUUGAUUAUGGUUGAAAUUGAAAUACAAUAAGAAAAGACAAUUAUUCUACUAUAAUAUUUCAAUAAUUCCAGCAAUACUCUUCCCAUCAUAUUGCUUCGGGGAUCGGAAAUGAUCUAAGUUGUACCAUCAGUUAAAGGGUUAGCUUAGGAAUAAUAGAUCCGCGUACAAUUAAUGUAACCUUGCACAAUCUUUAAAGAAACCUACAGAUCUCCAUUUCCUCCGGACUGGUAUGAGAUCUUAAUUUGCCCAUUUUGUCGAGGACAGAUUAGGCACAAAUCUUGGUAUUAAUUUCCCAAAACUGUACAGAAUUAGCAACUUGAAGGAAGAAACAGUUGGAGUCAUGGAAUUUCUGAAUGGUGAAGAGCUGGAAUGGAACUUUCAGUUUCGAAGAACUUUGUUUGAAUAGGAAAAAACUGAACUGGAGCAUUUAAUGCCGAUUUUGCGAGGUUUCUCUUUUGAUGAAGAUUGUGACAAUUGGAGGUGGAGUAGGAGUGGACAGUUUACAGUUCGUUCUAUAUAUGAUAAGGAGUUGUUCAAAGAUGCAAGAUAGGGAAAUGCAGAGAUUAAUGUGUUCCCAAUUGAUCUGGUUUGGAAAAAGGACUUGCUGUUGAAGAUUAAAUUUUCAUGGGGACAACAUUAUGGGAAGGACCCUGACUAAGGAUAAUUUGAAUAGGAGAGGCCAGCUACUUAAUCCGAUUUGUGCAAUGUGCGAGAUGUAUAAUGAGGACUUCAUCCAUUCAUUCUUGCAUUGUUCCAAAUCAGUAUGGGAGGCUAUUUUGAACCCAAGAGAUGAAGUCUAUUUUGAUUUGUUUACAGUAGAUGCUCUACAAUUUUCUGGAAGAGGAUAAAUAAUUAAAAACAUUCUCACCAGCAGCGGAGUUUAAUUACAAAGGGUAUGCAAUGAGAUAAAAGGCACAAUAUUGUACUGGAUGGGAUCGUGGGACAGAAGGAAGCACUGCUGUUAUCAGGAGUUGCUGCUGAAAUUAAAGUCUGUGAUUACUGUAGAUUAGGACCUUAUUUUGUAUUAUGUAAUCUUGGGACGUAAUGUGACAUAAGCUCUAGUCUUGGUAUUCAGAGCUGAGUUGUAACCAUUUUGACCUAUUAAUAAAAAUUUAAUUAUCAAAAAAAAAAAAGUUCAUUCCAUUUGUCAUCUUUUGUGCAAUUCAUUUCUAUUUGGUUUUAUUCUGUUUGUGUUUGAAUCUAUAAUUUUAUAUGUCAUAUGUAGGUUCUACUGAACAAAUCAGCAUAGGAAAAAGAAAAAUAAACUCUGUAUCAACAAACUCUGGAAAAAAGAAAAAGAAACCAUGUAUCAACCGACUCGGUUCUUCGAAAUUGUAUUGUUGAUUUGCCUUUGGUUAGUAUUUUAUUUGUAGAUUUUUCUUUGGCGAAUUACUGCAGAAUCAUACCUUGCCUUAAGGUGUUGCAUUCCUGAUAAUAUCGUUGUUUACCAACGCAUAAUCUUAAUGCAAAUUACGUUAGUUCUGUGGUUGUUUUGGUGACCAUAAUGGGGUCUUACUAGAACUAUUAAGUAAACAAUAGGAAUGAGAGGAAUGGUUUGUACUGAAUUUUUUUUUUUUUUUUUUUUUUGUAAUCAUUAUUAUAUAGAUGAUUGGUUUGUUUCUUUUUUUAAAAAAAAGAAAUGUGUUAUUAAUUUCUGAAACGAUUACAAAUACUGAACUGCAUACAGUUUUGGUGUAGAAUUGUAGUGUCAGAUUAAAGAAUAGAAAUGAGAUACAAAUACAAUAUUGUUGUAGUACUGCAGUCGUUUCAUACAAUGCAUAAACAAGUGAAAGGAAGUUACAUUGAUCAUUGCACACAUGUAGAAAACUGGUGGCAGAGUCAUCUUCGUUCUGUUACCUACCCAAUAAAAUAUAUAUUUUUUAAUACGCACUAACAUUUCCUCAAAUUCUGCUUUGUAAUAAUUAAAAUUAUUUGCCACCCCCACACUAUAAAUUUUACUUUUGUGGGUAUUAUUUUUUAAGUUUUUAAAUUUCUAAAGAUUUCUUACAAUACCAGUUGAGAAACUACAAAUAGUGCUAGUAUAACAAAUGUGAAUUCAAACAAGCAAACAAACAAUACGCAGAAAGUAAAUAACACACAGAGAUUUUUAACGUGGUAAAACCCAAACAGGGAAACGUCCACGGUUGUCCUCGCGACAACAAAAUAAUCCACUAGAUGAAAAGAGAUGUACAAACCUAUCAACUACCUGCACUCACUGCGAGUUGAUACUCCUGGUUAUCUCUAACACCUUGACUUCACCAGAGCACCUUGAUGUACGCACAAGACACUCGACUUCUUGAUGAACACACAAGAAGACUCGAAGCCGAAUUCACAAUAACUCUUGAAGAUCACAAAGAUAUGAAUUGAGAAAAGGGGGAAGAAAGGGAAUUGAGUUCAAUAGCCACAAACAAUUUCAAUAUCACAAACCUAACCAAAACACAUGAACUAGAAGAAUGAUGGACGGCCAAAGAACUAACUUGUUCUAAGGAAGAGAAAUCCUAUUUAUACUUAGGGUUGAAAACCUAGGAAAAUGGGCCGAAACAGUGCAAACCGACUUUGGACGUUCGUACGUCGAUAUGACGUUCGAACGUCGCCACACAAAAAUAAGCCUGCUGCCUAACAUGACGUACGAACGCUCUAACUCGGUACGUACGUCUCCAUACGAAAACACAUCUGCUGCCUACUUGGACGUACGAACGUCCUAACUGAGUACGUACGUCCUGACCAAAAGAUGUUUGCUGCUUCAGUGAACGUACGUACGUCCUAACUCGGUACGUACGUCCAGAACCCAAUAACUUUUCCUGGACAGACCUAAGAGACACAAGGACACGAGACGACCAUGCGUACAUCUUGAUUUUCCUAACAAUGAAUUCAAGGCGAGAUAACCAAAGACACUUUGUCACAAAAUUGAUGUCAAACCACUUCGUGCCGGUUUCAAUCUCCCCCUUUGACAUUGAUUUUGUGACAAAAACCUAUGACUCUAAUAGCACUUAUAAAACGUGCUUACAAUCCCAAACCAUGGCAUUUAUAAAACAUGCCUACAAAAACACUCAAAAUAGAAACACAUAACAAGUCACCAAUUCUUGUUAUCCAGCUUUAGGAAGAUGCUUUAACCAUCAGAGAUCGAACGGAAGCAAUCAAAGAUUCAACAGAAGUUCCUUCGAGCAACUCCCCCAUACUUCAUGAGCUCCAAAAUAUGUUUGGCACUCGAACUCCCCCAUAACAAUAUAACUUCUAAAAUCAUCAACACGUUCACUCCCCCAUACGUGUAGCAUACCUGAAACAUGACCCAAAAAUAACCUAACAACAAGAAGACGAUUGUUAGUACUUAGAGUCAUAAAUCUCCCCCUUUUUGUCACAACAAGUGGACAAAAUAACCAACUAUAAACAAAUAACCAAGAAAAAGAAAUCAAUACCAAACGAAGAAUACAAAACAUAUAAAGAUAUAAAACAAAUCCAACUGUUAAAAGUUCAGAAAGUCAACUAAUAUCCAAACAGAAAAAUCCAUAAGCAGAAAAAGCAAAACGACAAAAACAGAAGGCUUGAAUUAACGAAUUCGAAAAACCCGUUCCCAAUGUCCUAAAGGAAGCUUGGAGAAGUAAGCUUCCGCACGAGCCGAAGGUCUAUUCCACCGAGCAAUCACAUGAUCAUCAUAAUCCUCCAGCCAUUCACUCGUAGAAAACAACUCAAUCCUGCUGUCCAAGCCACAGUCGGUAAGUGGAGCAGCAAGUCCCGGAACCUUCGGAUAACCAACCAACUCCAAGAUGUGAUUUUGAAGAUGUCCCGGUAAUCUCUCCCAAUGAUUGACACGAACCAAACAAGGAUUAAGAAAAGGACGAUGAAUAUAGUCAUAUCCAUGGGGAACGCGACAUAAACGACAAACCUUAGCAUUGUUCUUAUACUCCAUUACCAUGAACGACACAUAACCAACAGUCGGAACAAAAAUUCCAUGAAGUUCAUAUUCUGCCAUAGAGGAUUCUGAAGAACAAAGAGAGAAUUAGCAAGAAGUAAGAAGACACAAUAGGAGUGAAAGAGAAAAAGACUCCCUAUUUAUAAGAAAAAUAGGAGUAAACAUAUCAUGGGCCCAAAAAGAAAGGUCCAUUACCUCAGAAAAAUUUACUGCAAAACAAGGAAACCAACUUGAACUAACAUGAAAAUAGCAAUAUCCAAGAACAUGUACAAUACUAAAAAAAUAGAAACAAACCAAUAUAGCAGUUAAGUACAAAAAUGGGAAGAGGAAACCAUAAAACCAACUACUCGGAUUCCGAGGCACCAUCACUCGGUUCACCAUCACCCUCGUCCUCACUCUCUGAGUCAUCACCAUCAAUACCCAACGCCUCACGGAUCACCUUCGGAGAAAUAGUGUAUCUCCGACCGUCAAUGAGGACCGAAAAACUCGAGCGAUUCUGCGAAGGACUCUUCGUCUCAUAGAAUGCUAUCGUAUGCUCAACCGAGUACUUGGUGAUUGGUUGAGCCACCCUUAGCCAAUUCCGAGUCUCAAAGAACAAUGCGAUAUUGCCAAGUUGAGAAGCCCCUAGAGGGGUGGCAGCAAUGUCUCCCAAGUCGAAGAAACGCUCGGGAACAAUGGCCUUGGCUCGAGGAUGAGCGCCAAGGGAUGAGGGAUGAGACGACAAACCCGGAGUGGAACCACGACCCCUCGGAGCGCGAGAAGAAGAUGCACCCUUAGAUGCAGAUGCCGUGGAGGUGCGUGCACGCUUUGAAGCCAUUUCCUACACAAACACACCAGUACACAAACCAAUAAUGUGAGAAAAUUGACAAAAUAACCAAAUUCAAGCCCAUAGAGGCAUUUCAUCAAACACUUGAUGUGCAUAAUCUGAAUACAUGGUAUUGACAACAAUGUAGCAAAGGUAAGCAACCAAACACACGGCAAAACAUAACCAAUAGCAGAUACCAUGAACACUACGCAGAUACCAUGAACAAAAACACUUCCCAAGAUUGUCCACAACAAAAAAAUGCAAGAUUGAGUAUCGAAACACCAAUUUCCAUUGAUUCAUCAUGUAAACAUACAACCUUAACUGACAAUACUAUAAAGUAUAUCCAAGCACUCAACAAAACAUGAUAAUGGAGAAGAGGGAGAGAUUAAUAACUUACAAGAGAUGGUGAUUGAGAAUGACGAACAAAUCUUCCGACCAACACACCGGACCAAAACAAGGAGAAGAGAAGAUGAACAAAUUUCAAACAAGACGAGAGAGAAGAGAAUCUCCUAAAACAAUGAUGGAAAACUAACCAAAAACUAACUACUUGUAGUGUGCCAAAGAGAGAACACGAUUGAUAUAACAGUUGGCCUUUGGUUUAACCAAAAAUUUGAAUUUAAACAGCAAAUGGGCCGGACUGUAUCAGGGACGUUCGUACGUCCUAAAGACGUUCGUACGUCGGGACUUAAAAAAAAAGAACAUCUGUCAGACCCUACGUUCGUACGUUCUAAUAACGUUCGUACGUUGGAAAUAGAUCUGCCCACCUCAACGUUCGGACGUCAUCACAGCGUUCGUACGACCCCCUUUUUUUUUUUUUUUUUUUUUUUAAAAAAUAAACCACAUAACCCGAAAAACAGAUAUUGAGAGACAUCACAAGAAAACACUUCUACGUAUCAUACGAAUUCCAAUUACAACCGAAUAUAGUUUAAACAAACCUCAACCAUAAGAGAAUGCAAAAUCGAAGAACGACACCAUACACCAUGACAUGGUAGUUACUAGAAUGAUGCAAGUAUGUAGAAGAGCCUGAUAGACCAAUACCAACCCCCGAAAAACAAACUAAAGACAUGAUCAUUGAGAAUAUUGAAAAUCACUUGCAACUAGCCCAAAAUGAAACUGAACCAGAUCACAAUACAACAAGGAAAACACACACUAUUGUUUUUCUUCUUGUCUUUCAACUAGACAAAUGCGAAAGCCACUAUUCAUUUUUUUUUUUUUUUUUUUUUGUUUUAUUUUGUAAACCAUUGAAACAGAUGCCAUUCCCGUGUGGGAGUAUGUAAUAUCUCCAUCUUUUACCAGAACACGAGGGUAGGGUGUAGCCUACAUCUUUUCGGCAAAACACACUCAAGAAGUGCAAUACCAUGAUAACGUGCAACACAAGAACUAACAUCUCUUGAGUGCAUCCGUCAGAGCAUGACCCUCACAGCCCCAACGGGUUCUUAGCCAAAUGAGUAUGCUCUCAAGACAUUCAAAUGGCUGGGGAUUUUGUGAGUCAUUGACCACUUACAAGAGGUGAGAGAAUAAAGAAAAAUAAAAACAACGAUCAUGAAAAAGCAACCAUGGAAAACUGGAGUUAUACAUGUAUUGAAAAUGUCAAGCCAACCACAUUGAAAUGCAUCAUGCAAGAAACUACCAAUACGAAGAGAGUAUAAUGUAACCCUACAACUAUGCAUGACACAAAGACAGUUGAGAACGCCAAACUAGAAACAUCUGUAAAAUGAAAUCCACACAAUAGAGAGUGUAGUAUGUCCUCAAUACCAACAACAACAAUAAAUGACCAAACCUAAACAUCCUAAACACAGACAGUUCCAAUGAACACAUUAGACAUAUGAAUGCAGAAGAGGUGUAGUGACAAUGAAGCAGUUAUCAGAUGAGCGACUACCAGAUAACACCAAGAUAUGAUUGGAAUCAAAAACAUCACACCUAUUUUCCUCAAACACAACCUUAAAUUUAGCAUCACAUAACUGACUAAUACUCAAUAGAUUGGACCUAAGACCCUUAACAAAAAGAAGCUCAUGACUAUUGAGCGAUUCAACCUCAGAAAAAUUACCUUUACCUUCAACCGGAAGCAAUUUACCAUUACCAAACCUAACCUUACCUCCAUAACCAAGAGUCAGGUUAUCAAUCAGAGUCUUAUCACCUGUCAUAUGACGCGAACAACCGCUGUCAAGAUAUCAUGAUGAAGGCAAUGGUUCAACCAAACGAGCCAUGUGAGACACCAUUUUCCUGGAUGCAUCCAUACUCCUAUCCCAGAAAUGUGGUGGUGGAGUAGGCAUGGGUGUUGCUUGAGAACGGUUUCCAUAAGGAGAAGUUCUGGGUAAACCCCACGGAGCAUAGCCAUUCCACAUGUAUGGAGCCUGCAUGGAGAAGGGGGAAGACUUGUUCCAAUAUGAGUUACCUGCAAAAGAAGGAUGAUGAGCAGGAUACAAAUUAUUCCAACAAAAGGCAGAAGUGUGACCCAUGCGACCACAUGUUAGACAUUUAAAGCCUUUGUGUCUAGAGUUCUUUUUCCGAACAUGCUUUACAUGAGUAACCUUGGGUGGUGAUACCACACUAGACACCUGCACAGGAGCAGGAAUAGUGACACUUGUUGGUCGCACAAAGGUAGUGCGGGAAGUGCUAGCAGUAGCAAGGGGAACAGAAGUGUCAUAACCUAAACCAGAUUUAUCUGAAUGGGAUUUACCGAUUCCCAACAGAGAGUUUAGAUUAGCACUUGCUUUACCAAACCCAACCAAUUGUUUGUUAGCAGCAAACAACUCAGCCUUUACAAGGGAUCGAUACCGUGUUUCCAGAUCAUUAUUCAGUUUUUCCAGAGUGACAAUACGCACUUGGAAAUCCUCCUUUUCCUUCACAAAUUCUUCCUUCAUCAUGUUGGAAUCACCUGUAAGAUUGCAUAUAUCCUGUCCAAGACUCUCUACCUGAUCCUGCAAGACGGUGUUAGUUUUUUCAAGCAACUUUACUUGUUGCAUAGAAAACUUAUACAUGUCACAUAAUUCACUAGUAGUAGCAUGAACACCAGAAUCAGAAACAUUAAUAUCAGCAGAAGAGGAUACAAUACCUCCUGGAUGUUCAUCCAGGGAUGCACUGAAGACCACAUAAUUAGAGACAACAUUUGAGAGAUUCCCAUCAUCAUCUUCAUCUGAAUCAUCCCAUGUUACUGUGAGAUUCGCUUUGGAAUUAUCACCAGGUUUGCGAUCGACCUUCUUAUCACAUUCAUUUGCAAAGUGUCCAUAAUCACGACACUUGUAACAUUGGACAUCUUUACGAUCAACUCGAGCUCUUCUCCCAUCCACAGAGAACCGCUCAAAACCACGACUUCUAGGAGCAUUUGAGGAAUCAGGAAAUCGCUUUCGAGGAUCUCGAUUCUGUUGAUAUUUCAGAAUCUUCUGAAAGCUACGUGACAGGAACGCAUAGUUAUCAUCCACAUCCUGUUCUUCAUCAUCAGAAGGUCCUGUGGAAGGUUCUUUAGACGAUGUAGCUUUGAAUGCUACAGAUUUGUUCUUCAAAGGUUCUUCCAAAGCCUGUUCCAUCUCACAUGUCCUUAGUUUCCCAGCAAGUGUCUCGAUGGACAUGUUCUUAAUCACAUUGCUCUCAGUGAUGGCAUCCUUACGUGAACGAAACCGAGGAGGCAAAGCACGCAAUAUCUUACGUACCACCUGCGUGUCAGUAUAUGCAUGACCAAUAGCCGCACUGCAGUUGAUGAUGUCUUGGAGACGAAUAAAGAAAUCAUCAAAGGUCUCAGAAUUAUCCAUCCGUAGAUUCUCAAACUGAGAUGUUAACAGUUCCAGCUUACUUUCUUUGACUGUUUCGUCACCUUCAUGUGUACAGAUAAGCCUGUUCCAUGCAUCUUUAGCCUCUUCACAGCCCUGCACCCUACGAAACUCACUAGCAUUUAAUGCCAUGAAAAUAGCAUUGAGUGCCUUGUUGUUAUAAUUUGCCAACAACUUCUGUUCAGGCGUCCACUUUUCACGUGGCGUCAGUGAUGUAACAGCAGUAUCAUCAGUACCUGUAGUAGUCAGAGGUUCUUUCCACCCUGUGACAACAGAAAGCCAGACUUCUUCUCCUAAUGCUUGGAGAUAAGCUCGCAUACGUACUUUCCAAUGACCAAAGUCCUUUCCACUGAAUUGUGGGGGAAGACUUGAAGUAGCAGACUUGUGAGAUUCCAUAAAGCACUAUUGAUCGUUAGCGUGAGCCUUUACGCUCCUUAACCAGCCCCCAGCGACUGAUACCAAUUGAGAAACUACAAAUAGUGCUAGUAUAACAAAUGUGAAUUCAAACAAGCAAACAAACAAUACGCAGAAAGUAAAUAACACACAGAGAUUUUUAACGUGGUAAAACCCAAACAGGGAAACGUCCACGGUUGUCCUCGCGACAACAAAAUAAUCCACUAGAUGAAAAGAGAUGUACAAACCUAUCAACUACCUGCACUCACUGCGAGUUGAUACUCCUGGUUAUCUCUAACACCUUGACUUCACCAGAGCACCUUGAUGUACGCACAAGACACUCGACUUCUUGAUGAACACACAAGAAGACUCGAAGCCGAAUUCACAAUAACUCUUGAAGAUCACAAAGAUAUGAAUUGAGAAAAGGGGGAAGAAAGGGAAUUGAGUUCAAUAGCCACAAACAAUUUCAAUAUCACAAACCUAACCAAAACACAUGAACUAGAAGAAGGAUGGACGGCCAAAGAACUAACUUGUUCUAAGGAAGAGAAAUCCUAUUUAUACUUAGGGUUGAAAACCUAGGAAAAUGGGCCGAAACAGUGCAAACCGACUUUGGACGUUCGUACGUCGAUAUGACGUUCGAACGUCGCCACACAAAAAUAAGCCUGCUGCCUAACAUGACGUACGAACGCUCUAACUCGGUACGUACGUCUCCAUACGAAAACACGUCUGCUGCCUACUUGGACGUACGAACGUCCUAACUGAGUACGUACGUCCUGACCAAAAGAUGUUUGCUGCUUCAGUGAACGUACGUACGUCCUAACUCGGUACGUACGUCCAGAACUCAAUAACUUUUCCUGGACAGACCUAAGAGACACAAGGACACGAGACGACCAUGCGUACAUCUUGAUUUUCCUAACAAUGAAUUCAAGGCGAGAUAACCAAAGACACUUUGUCACAAAAUUGAUGUCAAACCACUUCGUGCCGGUUUCACCAGUGAGUUAAAAUUUUAUUUCACGUGCGCUUCUUUUUUACAUGCUUACAAUACUAAAUUCUCAUCUUCCUAUAUAUAUGAACAAGAACAUCAAUGGACGAAGGUCAGGAAAGUCAAAUGUGAGAAUCUGCACCAGGAAUAUCGCUCUUCUUGCAGUAAGUCUUGCUCUAAUCAUUUAUUGCAAAACUAAACAAUGUUAUGCAUACAAUCGUUGCAUGUAUUUCAUUAAGGUUGAAUUUAAGGCCUGUGCAAUGAUUCUUUUAUCUAACUUCGAAUAACCUUUUGUGGUCGAUGGUUGUUAUUUAUAAGUUAUAUAAUCUUUCAACUUAUUAUACUUUUAGUUUGACAGUUUGCUAAGACUUGAAAAAUUAGAUUUAUGAAUACGUGUUAAGUGUAUAAAUAAUACUUCCACCACAAGUUUGACGUCAUAACUCAAUACAAGUGAUGAGGUCGAUACUACGAUCGAUGAGUAUAAGUUGGGUUCAUGCUAUCACCUAUACUACUCCCGUGUUCUCUUCUAUCCAGUGUUAUUACCUAAGCUCUGGAUACAACCAUUGCAUGUCUUUAAGGUAGCAUUUUACGCGUUAAUGCACGGGUUCUUUUAUCUAACUUUGAAAACCAUUUCGUGAUCGGACGCUGUUGCUUAUAAGUUAUAGUCUUUGAACUCAUCAAAUAUAUACUUUUAGUUUGACGUUAUUUAUUUUCUGCUCUUCUAUUUUUUACUAUCAGAUGUAGCUAUCCAUGUCUUCGAAUGAAAGCAUUUAGCUUUUCAAAUUAUUUAGAGCAAACUUUUCAUUCGGAGCGUCAUUCCAAUGCAUCAUGAAAGACAGAAUACUACUAUUCUGCAUACUACUAUUCUGCAUCUUAUAGGUUAGGAGUUCAGAGUGAAUGAACAAUUACUACUAUUCUGCAUUAUAACUAAACAUUCCACUCACUUAAAUUUCCCGCCGUAGGUUUCAUAUAACCUCUCCCCUGCCCUGUACUUAAAUUUCUUGAUAUGUCCCUUUAUAUAUGGUAACAAGAUUUUUCAUUUACUAUUUUAUGUCUAUCAGUUGCAAAUUGAAUUGAGGAACCAGAUCUGCUCUAUAAUACCCUUACAGUUUAAUUAGUAAAAAAAAGUAUCUCUUACAUUGAUUCGCUUAAUGUUAUGACAAGUAAGACUCCCGUUGUUGUGCAUUCUCUAAUUGAUUUUAUACACUUACAUCAAUGUUUAUAUAGCUCGAGUUUAAAAGCAGUGUCAAUGAUAAGUUUGUAGGUAAUGUAGCAGAGGUUUGUGUUAGUGCACAAGAAAUAUAUCUGGUGAAGUUAAUGAAACUGUACAAUUUUCAUAUUGUAUACUUAUAACACUGAAGCUAUUCCUUUCCCCUGCUUUUUGUUUGGAUACAAAGAGGUAAAUAUGUUUACAUUUGAAUUUCAAGAAUUCUGAGCACCUCAUGAAAUACAUUUUUGUUUUCCUUAUUUAAUUUUGGUUAGUUGAUAUGAAGGCUCAUGCAAAUGUUUUUGUUGUUUUGUAAUUUACCUCAAUUUGCAGAAUCGCAGAUGAUACUGAUAAUGUUGCAGUUGUGGUCCAUUGUCACAUAUAAGGUGGGUUCUCUAUGAUUGAUGAAGUAUAAUAAGGUGAUUUUAUCUGUCCACACUUCACACGUUUUUAUUUAUGGAAGAGAAAUUUUGGUAGUUAACUAUGAGAGUGAGUAUGUCAUAUAGCCCUCCCAUAUCAUGUUGUUAUUAUUUAAUAUGAUUAAAAAAAAUUGUUGGUCCCAGUUCCAAGAGUAUAUUAUUUUCUUUCAUUAAGAUUUCAAGCCCUGAAAAGUUCAUGUAGAUUAUGAACGGCCCAUAUGGAUAAUUAUGAAAUAUUGAAUAUUUGUUCUUUUCUUUUAAUGCAGAUUUGAGUGAACGAUUGCACAGAAUGGUUCAAACUCAAAGCCAGCAAAAAUUUGCUACCACAUUCCACAUAGAAAGGUAAGUUCACUAAUUAAAACUAAACAUCCAAUUGGUUGAAAAUCCAAUCUGUAUAUUAAUCUUUGACCCCUUCUACUGUUCUACUUUUACUAUAAAAGAAAAGAUAGUUUUGUUUUUCUAUUUCCAUUCUCGCUCCUCAAAAGACUCUUUCAGGGUCUUCUUCAAUAUCAGAAUUAUUUGGAGACCUUCAGUUGCUUUCUUAUUUCAAAUGUUUGUUUCUAUUCUUCUUUUAGAGUUUAAUUUAAAGUAGUUUGUAAUUUUUGUAUUCUUCUUUCAACAUAUAAUUUAAAUUUAGAAGUUUAUAGGAAAUAUAGAGUAAGACUAAUAUAAUGUUUUAGUUGGAACUGUAUGAAAUGAACUGAAGUGUUGUGCAUUCAUGGUCAGAAUGUAGACUGAUACUUCAGGUAAAAUAGGGUAGAUUCUGAGAAGUUUUCUUAAUCAUUCUAAUUGGCCACUGGAUUGAUGCAAUAUAUUUUGAGUUGUAUUAUACUUCUAAUUUCAGGCUUAUUUAUACACAGUGGCCAAUUAGAAUGGUUAAGAAAACACUAGAAUAUAUGACCAUUUAUGAUCCAUCAGUUUGAAAAGAAAUAAGGAUUUUUAAUACUAUGAAACAAGAGUGUUAUCCAAGGAAAAGAAAAAAAAGUUAUUUCGUGUAUUGAAUUCCCACCAAUGUAAAUGGAAACUGAUAGCAUGCACGAAGAAAUAUGAAAAAUUAUAUAAAAAUAUAGAGUGUGCCUGGACUUCAUUUUGGUUGAUUAGACCCAGCAUUUACAUUUACGAUUAUUUUGAGACAUAUUACUUGAGCUUAAAUUCACAUAGCUAUGUUGUUUAUAUUGGGAAGGAGAAGGUAUGAUUGGGAAGAGAAUCAAUUCAAACUGGACAAACUCAAGCAUGCUGGUCAGGAUUGUAUUCUACUUUUAUUUUUAAUAAAAUACGAUUUAUAAAAAAAUAAAUAAAUAAAUAAAUUGUAGUGAUGAUAUCAUCCAUCUAGAUGUUUGUUUGUUUGUUUGUUUGUUUCUUCUUCUUCUCCGAGUCAUUCCAUAUGACUCAAUCGAAUAAAUCUCGAAGUAAUACCAUCAGCUAAACCAAAACUGACUUAUCCCGUGUGUAGCACGGUUUCACCUAUUAGUUAAACUAAAAAUAGGAAAAAAACAUUGAUUAAAAUUAGAACUUAAACUAAAAAUAGAAAAAAAAAACAUUGAUUAAAAUUAGAACCAAACUAUCGACUCGAUCUUAACUUGACUGACUUAACCGAUCUUAAUAAAACCUUAAUAAAAACAUUGAUUACAAUUGAAAUUGUGAAUUCUCAUGGACUGUAAUCAACCAACCACCAGGAUAACAAGCACAACUUGUGCAUCUACUUGUACCCUCCCCCCUAACCCUCCCCCCUUUCCCUCCUUAUCUUUCCUUUUCUGGCAAAAAAACCACCGUCGAUGUACUUUCACUACCUCUAACACCAUGCCUGAAUCGCAACCCUCACCAUCUUCCACUUCAAUUUCCUCAUCCACCCCCACCCCCAAGCCUCUUAUUUGCACCGCUGUGCAGGAUCUACCACCACAGGAUGGAUUAGCGGUGGAUCCAUUAGUCUCUGUGAACGAGAAGCCUCGAUUAUGGUCGACUCUUCUCAAAACAUUACCACCGUCGGCUGGAUCUAUGAAUCUGGAGUACUCUGAACCGAUCUUUGAAGAAGGAUUUCUGCAAAUUCCGGAACGAAUUAGGGAAGAAGGAGCAAAAAUAUGGGAAGACCGUGUUGUAGGAUUCUUUAUUGACAAAAAACUGCCUUUUAGCUAUGUCAAGUCUGCUUUGGUUAGCAAAUGGAAAACACUAAGAGCGUAUGAAAUGGCUCUUGAUGGAGAUCUAUACUAUUUCAAGUUUUCUGCUAUAAAAGAUAGAGAGAGAGUUCUAGACGAAGGAUCACUACAGCUAGCUGGGAAGCUAUUCAUCAUACGGCCAUGGACUAGAGAAGUGGAGAAUUCUAGAGGUAUGAUUAAAUCUGUACCUAUAUGGGUUAAGAUGUCUAGGGUUCCAAAGGAUUUGUGGAAUCCUAAAGGUUUCAGCUUUUUAGCAAGUACUAUUGGUAAACCGCUAUUUACUGAUAAAACCACUGAAAAUGGAAACAUGCUCUCUUUUGCUAGAGUUUGUAUUGAGAUUGAACCCAAAAAGGAUCUACCUUCAACCAUUCCUCUAGCCAAAGAUCAAGUCAUAGAGCUAGAGUACCCUUGGAAACCCCUGAUCUGCACUAAGUGCAAAGUAUUUGGUCACCCUUCAUCCAAAUGCCUCCCACCUCCACCCCCUGCUAAGCCCACAGCUUGGAAAACCAACACUCAUAAAAAACCCCAACUUCCAUCAAAACCUGCAACAAAGCCUAUUAAACCAAUUCAAAAGUCCAAUUUUCACAUUGGCAGCUCAUCCAAAUCAGCACCCACCAUUGUUGUCAUUACUUCUAAUGACAAUAUCAACAACCCAUUGAAUGAAGUGGUUGUUAUCACAACACCACUAUCUGCUAGUGCAGUUGUUACUACACCCAACAUAUUUGCCAGUUUGGCUGAAGGAGAACAUGACACUGUUGCCGACAGUGAUGAUGUUAUUGUACAAGAGGAAGUGGAGGAUGGAACUCUGCAUAAACUUUCUGCAGCAAGUAAUCCUCCUAUUACAAACAAGAAGACAACAGAAGAAGGGAAGGCAAAAGAAAAUAAGCAACAUGAAAUGAACACCUCAUCUAGUAAUGAUACAGAUGUGGAGAAAACAAAGAAAGUCAAGAAAAAGAAAUUUCAGAAGGAACCUGGCUCUGAGUUCAAUGAAGGGACAACAGAGAAAGGAGGGAGGGACAAACAAUCAAAAAAGUCGUAAUGUGUUCCAUCUCAACAUGGAAUAUAAGAGGUCUCAACGACCCGACUAAACAGAAUGAUGUGAAGAGUAUGGUGUAUGGAAAGAAUAUUAAAUUAGUAGGACUUACAGAAACUAAAGUCAAGCAUAUGAAGUACAACACAAUUCAGCAAAGGAUGCUUCCCAAUUGGUCUAGCAAGCACAAUGGUGACUAUGAUCCAAGGGGGAGGAUAUGGCUUCUUUGGGAUCACAACUAUCUCAAAGUAACUAUAUUAGCUGUGAGUGACCAAUUCAUUCACAGCAGGGUAACUGACUGUAGCAACAAAGCAGAAUAUUUGCUCACUGUAGUCUAUGGAAGGAACAAUAAAUAUGAUAGAAGGAAGCUCUGGAACGCCCUCUCUACAAUGAAUAUCACCAACGAGCCAUGGAUUGUUUGUGGUGAUUGUAACAGCUGCACAGACAUCAAUGAUAAGAUUGGAGGUAAUCAACUGUCCUAUGGGGAUAUCAAUGAUAUUAAGGAGUUCGUUAAUGACAAUGAUCUGGAUGACUUACCAACCAAAGGAGGCCUUUAUACUUGGUCUAAUAAGUCUACAGGGCCUAGUAGAACUCUCACAAAGAUCGACAGGUGGUUUGCUAACAUAACCUGGCAAACUAUGUUUAACUCCACCUAUGUGGAAAUACUGAAUCCUGGGAUUUCUGAUCAUGCCCCCCAAGUGCUGCAAUGGGGUAGUAAUGAUGUAAAACCUAAGAGCUUCAAAUUCUUUAAUCAUUGGGCAGCAGACUCAUCUUUCCUACCAAUGAUUGAGCAAGUUUGGAAGCAACAAACACUGGGAAAUCCUAUGAUGAAACUUACGACAAAGUUGAAACUCACCAAAGAUAUGUUGAAGGUGUGGAGUAAAGAAAAAUUUUCUAAGCUCAGUGAGAGGACAGCUAAUGCAAAGGAGGAACUCCACAGAAUCCAAGAUGAAAUCCAGCAAAGACCACUUGAUAGAAUACUGGCAGAGUUGGAAAUUGAAGCUUCUACCAACUACAGUGAACUGGCAAGGCAAGAAGAAUCCUCUCUGUACCAAAAAGCCAAGCAGAAAAAUGUAUUGAUGGGGGAUGGUAACAAUUCCUAUUUUCACAAUCUUGUGAAGGGCAGAAGAAACAAAAAUACAAUCAUGAGUGUGAUCAACCUAAAAGGUGACAACAUGAGUGAUGAAGCCUCAAUCAGAGAUGCCUUUCUUGAUUAUUACGAUCAGCUGCUUGCAGUUGAACACAGUGGUGAUUUACAUACUGAGGGACUGGACAAAAUGCAGUUUCUACAGUUGGGCAAUCAGCGGGAACUUCAGGAGUUGGCUAGCGAUGUUACUAGAGAAGAGAUCAAAUUUGCUUUAUUUGAUAUUGAUGACAAUAGUGCACCUGGCCCUGAUGGUUUUGGCUCAUACUUCUUCAAGGUAUGUUGGAGUAUCAUUAGUGAUGAUUUUUGUAAAGCAAUUUCAAACUUCUUUACUUCUGGUAAAAUGCUUAGGGGUGUUAAUGCUACUAACCUUUGCUUGAUUCCAAAGAAAACCAAUGCUGCACAUGUCAGUGACUAUAGACCAAUAGCAUGUUGUAAUGUGAUUUACAAAUGUAUUUCCAAAGUUGUGGUGAACAGGCUUAAAAGACUAUUGCCAGAAGUCAUCAGCCCCAACCAAACUGCUUUCAUCUCAGGGAGGAGCAUAUUAGAUAAUGUUCUCAUUUCUCAUGAACUUCUGCGAAAGUACAACAGGAAGAGUAUUUCCAAGAGAAGUGCAGUGAAAAUUGAUUUAAGGAAAGCCUAUGACAUGGUCAGGUGGGAUCUUAUUGUCGAGAUUCUUAUCAGAAGUGGUGUCCCCCAUAGAAUGGUGAUUUGGAUUCAUGCAAUGAUCUCCACAGCUCAUUUCUCUGUUUUGAUUAAUGGUCAUGCACAUGGGUUUUUCAAAGGGAAAAGGGGUCUCAGGCAAGGAGACCCCAUGUCGCCAUUACUAUUUGUUCUUGUCAUGGAAGUGUUAGGCAAAUUGUUGGGUGAAAAGUACCAACAAGGGUUGUUCUUACUGCAUCCAAAAUGCUUAAAUCCGACUAUUACCCAUCUGUGUUUUGCGGAUGACUUGCUGGUGUUCUGCAAAGGAGACCUUGCCUCAGCCUACAACAUUAAUAUUGUUCUCUCAGAGUUCUAUCUUCUCUCCGGUUUACAGGCUAAUCCUCUUAAAAGUUCCGUUCUCUAUGGGGGUGGCACAGAGAUUGAAAAACUUGAAUUUGCUACCAUUCUUGGGAUGCAUAUUGAGAAACCACCCAUAAGGUAUCUAGGGCUCCCGUUGCUGGCCUCUAGACUAUCUAUUCAUGAUUGUCAGACUCUGGUGAAUCAGUUCAAGACCAAGAUUCAAGCUUGGGCCAAUAAAUCUCUGUCAUAUGCUGGAAGGAUGCAAUUGAUUAAUUCAGUGUUGGCUAAUUCCCAUGUGUUUUGGACUCAGGUUUUCUUGCUCCCCCAUGAGACCAUUAAACAGCUCAACAGAAUUUGCAGCAAUUUUUUCUGGUCAGGACAAGAAAAUAACAAGAAGCACAGAAUUAGUUGGUUCAAGAUUUGUAGACCUAAAGAUGAAGGGGGUUUAGGUGUCAAAUGUAUUAAAACUUGGAAUUGUGCAGCUAUUUCAAAACUUACUUUCAGAAUUGCCAAAAGGGAUGAGUCUCUCUGGUAUGCAUGGGUCAAGAAUAAUCUGAUCAAACAGCAGCAUUUUUGGACGAUGACCAUUCCAAAUGACUGCACAUGGGCCUGGAAAGGAAUUCUGCAAGGAAGAAAGCUUAUCAAACAACACAUCAGCUACACCAUUUCCAGUGGGGAAAGCAUCUCUUUUUGGUAUGACCCCUGGUCUUCUCUUGGCAUCCUUAGAGAAUUUUUCAAUGCAGCUGAAAGAAGUGACUUUAGAAUCAGAGACAAUGCAAAGCUCAAUGAUUUCAUAAGAGACGGAAGAUGGUGCUUCCCUAACACAACUAACAUCUGCAUAUCUCAAGUUAAAGAAGCAGCCAAUACAAUUGUGGUAGCUAGAGAUAGCAUUGAUGACCAAAUUGUAUGGCAACCACAUCCAUCAGGGCAGUUCACCAUCAAAACUGCAUAUGAAGCUUUAAGGCAGAGAAAUCCUAAAACUCCAUGGAGUAGGGCAGUGUGGAAUAAAGCAGUGAUACCGAGGCAUGCUAUGACCACAUGGAUGGGAAUGCAAGACCUUCUACCUGUUCAAGACAAACUGGUUAAUUGGGAUGUUCUGAAAGUCUCAAAUUGUGUUCUAUGCAACAUGAGACUCAAGCCAAGGAUGGACAACAUCAAUGCCAGCUCUACUUUUGUCUCAGCAGCAACUCAAGAUGCAACCUGUAGCAUUCCAGACAAUCCUAUUGUGCCUAAAAUAUGUUCUAGUCAAUUUUACAACCACAAUAGAAGGAGGGUUUCUAAAACCUCACUCAAUUGGGCUAGUAUCCAAACUAGCUCAAGCCAAGGUCCUAUCCCUGAAAACUGUCAUCAUUUGUUCUUUGAUUGCAAUUUUUCUAAAGGCAUAUGGCAGAAGAUACUAAAUUGGUGCAAUAUUUACAAACAAGUAGAACAGGCUCCUGUGGAGUGGUCUUGGAUUGUAAGUAAUAGCACAGGGAAUGAGCUUCACAGCAAUAUGUUCCAGGCAUCAGUAGCAGCUACCCUGUACUGGAUUUGGUCAGAGAGGAACAGCAGGAUUUUCAGAGAUGAAACACAUAGUGAAGGGAUCAUCUUCCAAAGAAUUAUGAAUGAUGUAAAAUGGAGACUCAGCAAAGUUGACAGAUUACAACAUGAUAAUUCCAAAAAUAGAGCAGCAGCUAGUGCUCUAGGUUCCGAUUGCAAGUUCAGGAGUUUGAAACCAGUUUUGGUAGCAUGGGAACCACCUCACAUUGAUGAAGUUGCUUUAAACACAGAUGGCUCAUUAUCAGACACUGCAGCAGGAAUUGGAGGAGUUUUCAGAGCUCAUGAUGGGACUGUUUUGAUGGCUUUUAAUGCAGGAACAACUAGCCCAUCCAUACUGUAUAUUGAAAUGCUUGCAAUAUUUGCUCAUGAAUUAAAAUUCAAGACUAUCUAUGUGCAGAGUGACUCUCAGCAGGCUUGUCACACAAUUCAAGAACUGGUUCAACCUACUUGGAGAAUCAGAGGGCUACUUCAGGAAAUCAAGGAAAUCACCAGCAAGUUUGACAACUUCAGGAUUAAGCAUACGUUUAGAGAGACUAACUCUGUUGUUGAUUCUUUAGCAAAUUCUUGUACUAGUGAGGACUCUUUAGUUUUUCAUUGUAAUCCACUUCCUAAACAUCUCAGCUUAUUAGUUGAUCAAGAUGCUAGGGGUAUGAUGUACAAAAGACACUGAUUCUUUAAUAUAACAGGUAGGGGGCUGCCUUCACCCCAGCUUGCAUUUUGCAAAAAAAAAAAAAAAAACAAGCACAACUUCUUGGAAUGCCAUCUUAGUAUUAUGUGAACGCCAAUAACUUCCGUACCGCUUUCAGGAUCAUCCAAAGGGUGAAUUUGGAUUGUGGAGGAAGGGAAUUAUAAGCCAUGGAAGAUAAUAUCGAAACUGCAUUGAUCACAAACAGACUUCCAUGGUUGGAGUUCAUCCUUUGGUUGGAGUUUGUAGUAUGGAUAUCACCACCAUGAGUAGUAGAAUGUUUCGGUCAAGCACUACCACUAUUAACAGCAACUUUGUUCCCUCUUAUAUGAUCGUCAAUGAAAUCUAAAUUUUUUAUAAUCCUCUUUUAUUUUUACUUUUAGGUGUGUGUGCGCGCUAGAAGUUGACAACGAGAAAGUGUGAGUAUAAGACCAGAGAGAAAAUGUUUUUUCAUUUCAUAACCAUCACUCUGACCAUUUUUGUUCAGAAAUCCAUCUGUACGGCUUGAAGUUGUGAUGAGUGAUGACACUAUGCUUACAUUUAUUUCACCCAAUAUACCACAAAAAAAUUCGAGGUCACCAAUCAGGGAAACAAGUAAACAACUUAACAUUUAUUGAACAUACACAGACGAUGGGUUUUUCAGAAGUUUCAAGUCCAGAGGAUAAGUAGUAAUCGAGUACACAGCUACACCACAGCAUUUUCACCGAUGGUAAUCACAGAAAUACAUUAGUUGCUACAAAGCUAAUCCUAAGUCACUUCAAUGCAACAAAAGCCGCAUUGAAGGGCUGAUCUACAAAAGUACAAGUAUUUU
rnacentral:lncRNA from 1 species